UUUUUUUUUUUUUUUUUGUCAUCACUGGGGUAUCCGGGCCUACACCCGACUAAUCCCACGGCGCCCCAGCAGAGCGGGCCCGACCGAUGCUGAAGAAUUUAACAGCUGGGUGGCUGCCCGGGAUCGAACCCAGGUGGAGCUCAACCAAGGGGCGUCCUUCCACCAGCAGACCACCCAGCGCGGGCGUAAUUCUUCAUUCUUUGCACCUUGAUUUUCAACAUCCUCAUUUAACAAACGUUGUCUCAAACUAAUCCGAGAAACAUUUUGAAAUAAAUGCAGUAAGUUCCAUCACCGUUUUGGAGUGUUUUGCUGUAGAAAAAAUGAUUAACAAAAAAUGGACAGUAACUAUGUGAUUAAAAUGUAAAUACACAAAAUAAGAAAGAGUGUCGUUGGGUAGCAAAUUAUUUGGAAUAAUUAUUAUAACACUUUUUGGGAUAUGAUGUUUGUGAGAUUAAAAAAGUGGUUAAGAAGAUUAAAAAAAAUUGUGUUUAUAAUACAAACAAAAUAUUAUUUAAAAUAAUUUUACUAUCAAAGUAUGUAUGCGCCGUAUUCUCAACUUUCUUCGUCUAAUGGAUCUCGCAUUCACACCCUAGUUUGCAGUGAAAAAAACUUUAGCAAUAUUUAUUCUCAAUUUUUUUCUUUAGUAUAAGUGGGAGGAUUCAAAUUGAAUAUCUUUCACUUAUAUUCCGCCUCCUUAAACUACACAAUCCAUCUUUCCCACCUAUUAUUAUUAUUAUUUUUGGCAAGUAAGAACUUCUUAUAUCUAAUUUCUUUCACCUUACCGCCCAACUGAACCCCACCCCAACCCUUUCCUCCCCUUCUUUUUGUAAUUAGAAUAAUUUGAAUCUAAAAUUUUCUAUUUAUAAUCCUCCCCUCAUUUUUAAUAAUUUAUAAUCACUCUUAUUAUUUAGCAAUAUCGCAUGCAAUCAUCUAUACAAUAUAUAAAGUUAGAUGUGUGGCAAUUGAUGCAAACUUUUCUACGUCAAUUUUUUAAUUUCUAAUUUUAUCCUUAUAGAAACCAAAAUGUUCACCUAAUUACACUUUGUCAGCAUAAUUACUCAUAACCGUCCUAAAUAUUCUAACUACCAAACUAUCAUAAUCUUAUAAAUCAAAGUUUUUAAAUAAAUUUAUAAUAACUAUAUUUCUUUGAAACAUAAAAUUUAUAGAAAAUUAAUUUAUUUUAAUUAUUUCUAAAUUGCACACACAUUGAGCGUGCUCUUAAUACUAGUAAAUUAUAGAUGAAGAAAUAUGUAUCUUAGCCUGCAAUAAAUAACUUCAAACAAAUAUUUUUGAAAUUAUUAUAACUUGCGAUUGGAACGUCACGUGCCCAGCAGAGCGGCGGGUAUUACUUUAUCCUCGGUUUUGAUUUCAGAGUUUGCCGUAAUAAUUCACAUAUUUUCUGGUCCUUACCCGUCCAGUGACUAGUCGGCCCAACAAACCAAAAUUUCAGACACGGUUCUCUUUAAUUGUUCCUCGUAAUAUUCGUUUAAUAAUAGUUCAACCGGAUUUUCUGUCUCCAGCUCUUCGUCUUCUUCAUCAUCAUCAUCUACUAUUCACUUAAUUAUCCAUUCAUAAUAAUUUUCCGACUUAAUAAACAAUUAUUAAUACCUCCUUGUCGGCUUGUAUGGGAGUAACAUAGGACAGGGGCACUUAAUUAUAUCAAGGCUAACAUUUGAUCGUUAGACCAUAAAUAAACACGAAGAGGAACCAAAUAACGACGUCGAUCAAAAGAGCUGCACCAAAACUGGUAAUUUCUUCGAUCAUUGACUUUUUUUUCUUCUUCAAUGACGAUUUUUGAAAUUUUACAUUUCUCAGCGUUGAUUGCAUAUUAUGUUGAGCUACCUAAUCGGCGGACGUUUAAUCAGUUGAAUUGAUUGAUUGAUGAUGUUUAGGGUUUCUGGUCGGAUUGUUUUGGAUUGGAAAUUUGUCUCGUCUUAAUUCUGUAUUCUUAUUGUUGUGGGUUCUGUUUUUUCAGGAAGUUUAUGAAAGCGAGCAUUUUUUGAUAGUAGUCGUCCGUUUAGCUGAUUCUCGCAAAAAUUCUUCGUCAUAAAUACAAUUCUAAUUUAUUUCAUCUUUGUUAUUAGAUAGAAAAGUUUAGUUUAUUUUUCUUCUUUUUGAUGUUUAAAGGGUUGUAUUGGUACAUUAUAGUACAACUAAGUGUCUGCUUUUAGCUCUCACAUGAUAUUAAGUUCCCCUUGCUGAGUUGGGUUUCUUGGUUUGCCCUUGCUUCCAUGUUGGUUCAACGGAGGAGUUUGAUACUUUCUUUAACAAAUUUGACGGGCAAUUGAUACAUUGGUUGUGUGAUCUUUGCUUGUCCAUCAGUGCUCAAUUGUGCCAGACUUGAGAUUCUGUUGAAAUUAAAGGAUUGCUUUAGGAGCUCUUUCCCUCUUUGUGAGUGUAUAUCCCUUCCUUCGUCUUCAAGAAAUUCGUUUGAAGAGGAUUUCAGGGUUAACUAAAUUGUGAUUAUUUUGCACUUGGGUGCAAAUUGUUAGUAAAUUCAUUUUUUUUAAGGUGUUCUUCUCAAACACAUAUUUAUCAGCUUUCUAUAUUCUGAAUUUUGUUGAUAUGAGAUGUUUUGAGCUUGAUUUGCAGUAGGGACUGCUAGCUCCCUCCCACCUGUGUCUUUUGCUUUUGCAAUCUAAGAGUCUGUAGAAACAUCAUAAAACUCAAUUCUAUUAAAACUCAAUUUUCUGCCCUUCCUUCAUUUAAUACUGAAAAGAAUGGCUUGAAAUGUGGGUUGUAAUGCGUUGCUUUCUUACAUAAUCUGAUAGGAGAUGAUCUUUUAGAUUAGUCUUUUUUCCUCCUCUCCUGUCAACUCUUUCCUCAUGUAGGUUUAUCUAUUAGCGUUUGGGGAUGAGAUUAAAAUAUGUAUUUUUCUUUUCUUCUAGGUGAGCAGUUAUUGGUAUAUUGGAAACAAUUGCAUUGUUACAUCAGUCAAGAUAAUAUUGACAUUGCCAUUGAAAAUGCUGCUUGUGAAGACCUAACGCACACAGCGCCCGGAGUAGCUAGAAGUAUUCAGUUCUUUCCGUUUCUGAGGAAUUAAUGGCUGUUACCUCUCAAGAGACCGGUCGAGAAAAUCCCACUGAUAGAUUUCCUUUGCUCAUGGAGCAGGCAGAGAAUCGUGAAAGUAAUGAUCAUGUUAUUGAUAUAGGACGGGUUGGUGAUGCUUCCUCUCCAGACUCAUCUGAUCAUGGUUCUCCUUGUGGUUUGACUACACCACAUCAUGAAACAGGACCCUCAGGUCGGGGUCAAGUGCCUUUGACUCAGUCACCCUCAGCGUCUAAUGGUUCCAACUUUAGGAGCUCUUCACUUUCACGGCGAGGUGAAGGUUUGGGGCGUCGAUGGAGUCCAUUCAAUACGGUGUUGUGGAUUUCCCUUGAGCUAGUAUUCACUGUUGGCCAAAUUAUUGCAGCACUGGUUGUUCUAUAUUUGUCAAGACGUGAGAAUCCACAAACUCCAUUGUUUGCUUGGGUUGUUGGUUAUGCUGCUGGUUGUGCAUUAAGCCUCCCUCUCUAUUACUGGCGCUAUAUUCAUAGUAAUCAGAUCACUGAUCAAAGGUCCACUCAAUCACGUCAAGGCUCGAGACGAGGCAAUUCGACAUCAGAACCCAAUUCUUACAUAACCAUCUCACUAACUAGAUCUUCAGAAGAGGAAGCUGGCCAGAAUACAUCUACAGGCGCUUGGAAUGGUCAGAAUAAUGGCGCUCCCAAUGCUAGGUAUCUGUAUUUAUGACAAAUUUUUUAUGUCAUUUCUAUAGGAGGAGAUAUAAACCUUUUUUUUAAAAAAAAAUUAUUAUUAUCUGUAUAUUCUUUGUUUUUUAGCAAACAAUGAUGAGUGUUUAAGUUUGUUUGGAUGAUUGUUAUCUAAGUCGCAUUGUUAACAAUUAAAAUAGUUCAAUAUGCCUGUUUUGUCGACAUUCUUUCUUAAAGUAGAUACUACAUCUAAAGUUCGUACCAUGUUAUCUUGUUACUGGUAACUUUUGUUUAUUACCCUUUCGUUUUUGUUGUUGCCUUUCUAGUAUGAAGGCUCAACAUUUGUUUUUCAAAUUCCUCUUAUGUAGUCCAUUUUGACAUAAAUGCCACGUUCUGGCUUUGGCAAGUGAUGCUUGCCUGGGGCAUUGCUCUUCCAGGAAAUAUUCCUUUCAAUUUUCUAAAACUGGGAAGACAAUUCUAAAGUAUCUUGUUCAAGUUAUUAGGGCAGAAUUGCUUAUUGCAAGUGGUAUCUCUACAAUCUUAGAGUUGCAUAUUGAAGUCAGGGAGGUGGAUUUAGGAGACGAGGCUUAAAAUAACUUCAAGUUCACCUCACUCUUCAAGUUUAUAGUAGUUGUAUUUGUCUAAGUUGUUUAUAGUAGAUUUUAUGGCCAUAGGGAGCUUCAAGUAAGAGUAAAUUUGAGUACCUUUGUAACUUAUUCUUUAUAUGGUUAGUAUAUUAAUGUAGCAUUAUCUGUUCAUGAAGCUGCAUUUAUCUAAAGACAUUCAUGACUUGACUAUACAUUUUUCCGAGCUGAGAAUACUUUUUUGUGGAUACCCCACUCAUCACAUGCAGGUUCAUUGCCUUGAGAGCUAAUCUACUCAAGCAGUAUGUUUUAAUGUAUAGUUAAUGUAAUUUGUUGUUGUUAUUUCAGGGUCAGUAUACUGAUGGACCACUUCAAAAUGGCCUUGGAUUGCUUUUUUGCAGUUUGGUUUGUUGUUGGUAAUGUUUGGAUAUUUGGAGGGCAUUCAUCUUCUUCUGAUGCCCCAAAUUUGUAUAGGUACAAGCUGCUUUUAUAUUCGUAGAUUUUACUUUUAUAACUAUCCUUCUGAUUUGACGUGCCUCCUGAAUCCUUUGCAGGUUAUGUUUGGUGUUUCUUACCUUUAGUUGUAUUGGCUAUGCCAUGCCUUUCAUUUUGUGUGGAAUGAUAUGCUGCUGUCUUCCAUGCAUCAUUCAUAUUCUUGGUGUACGUGAGGAUAUGAAUGGAGUGAGAGGAGCCACUGAAGAGUCUAUUAAUGCUUUGCCCAAAUAUAAGUUUAACCUAAAGAGGAAUCGAAGUAGCAGCAGUGGAGACAGCAGUUCUGGAUUUGAGGAAGGUGGGUUUCUAGCUGCCGGAACAGAAAAGGAGCGUGCCAUCUCAGGGGAAGAUGCUGUAAGUUAUACUCUGCUUUGAGGCUUCAAAAGUCAGAAACUAGACAAUGGGAUUUAUGAUCUCUAUUUUACAUUCUUAUUGCAAUUUAUUCGACUGUUCUUCAGAUGGUGGAAUGGUGCAGUGGUUAAAAGAAGGAUGUAUAAGUAUAACAUCUUUUAGCCAUGAUGUUCCUUAUCUUGUACUUAGUUCAAUUUGGUUGGAGACAGUAGUAUAUUUAGAAUUUCAAAAUCAACAUACAGUAGGAUAAGCUAUGAAUGGUAUUUUUUACCCUGUUAUGCUGAAAAUUAUUGUUUUUGGACUGGUGCAGGUUUGUUGUAUCUGCUUGACAAAAUAUGAGGACGAUGAUGAGUUGAGAGAGCUUCCCUGCUCUCAUUUCUUCCACACAGAAUGUGUGGAUAAGUGGCUUAAGAUAAAUGCAUCGUGCCCCCUCUGCAAAUUUGAAAUUGGUGGUGGUGGUGGUGGUGCUGAGGAUGCAGCACCUGUAGAAGCCAGCCAGGAAGAUCAAGGAGUAUGAAACAUGGGUUGAUGAAACAAGUAAUGGCACAAGGUAGGAGCUUGCCCUUCCAUACGAGGUAUUCUGAAUAUGAGAUGCUGGUAAGGUUGUACAGUCGAGGUCAUCAAGUGUCUCUGCAGCUUCAUGACAUCAACAUCUGUGAUGUACAAGGGUAAUUGUGAUUUGUCAAAUGCGCUUCCCGGUUGUGCAGAAGUAUGCGAUAUGUUGUCAAGCUGUAGAUUUGAGUUAUACCCUAUUUCUUUGAAGGAUAUGUAUACUCUUGAAACUGCUGAGCAAGAAAUACAUAAUCUCUGAAUAAAUUACUGUCGUUGUAGGCUGCAUUUUUGGUUUUAAUGUAUGAAGAAGAACCCUGCUCUGGUUAAUGUUUUAGCCUGCGAUGGUAUGUUAAUGCGGGUACUGGAUCCCAUUACGCAGCAGUAUUGGAGGUAAAAUGGACUCCCCCAACUGAUUUAACCAAGUUGAUCGAGAAGUUUGUGGGGUUACCGCUCCAAGAAAUCACUUCAAUGCCGUUUUAGCGCUGAAAUUAUUUAUUGUUGCCGGAGUUACCAAUUGGCUGAUUGGGAAUCGCCUGAAAAGAGAUGAUCCAUGUUAAUAGGUAAGAACUUGAAAGAAAGUGGCCUCAUAGGGUUCCUGUCGAAAUUGUAUUCGACACACCUAGAAUGACAGGAUCAAGCUUCAGCGUGUUGAUCUGGCUAUGUUUUAUUAGAGUUUACACGGCAUCUAUUAGCAUAACAAUUAGUAAUAAUUCUUUUCUAGCACAACAUGUUAAUCACGCUCGAGUGGCUAGUUUUAUUAAUCGGUCAAACUAUAUUAAAGAAAACUGUGCACCUCUGAUGAGUUUUCACAAUCACAGAUAAGGGAAUGGUCUGUCUAGCAAUAAACUAUGGCAACCGUCUAAGUAAUUUCUUUGUCAAGCCUGAAGCCCCCCUCCACAUUCCCAAUAUAUCUUAUUAUUUCGGGUUUUCUCCACUUCCUGGCUUUUAUUUAAUACUGCUCUUCCAGACAUAAGUGAAAUAAAAAGCUCAAAAUUGCUUGAAUAAGUCCACAUUCUAGUUAUCUUUUUCAAACUUUUGAUGGUAAAUAAUGACUAAAUCUUCCCUACACCAAACUCCCAAAAGAACAAAAGAAAUCCAAACUCUUACCACUGCGCAUCCUUAUCUUUCUUCCCUUAUUUUUUUCAAAGAAGGUUGUUUGAUGCUUGCCAUUGGUCAAUGGCCCUGUGUAUUGUUGUGUGGUUUGUGCGACUUCCAUGUAACAUCCAUAGCCAUAAUAAUGAGCAUGUGGCUUUAAUUAACGCUGCUGCACCCAGCAACCGGGUUGAAAUUAAUGUCCAUAUACUAAACAUGUUCGCUUAAGAUGAGUUAUCCACCAUAUAAAUUAUAAGGUGCAGUACUAGCUACAAAUUACAAUGAUUUAAAUCCAUAAUAAUGUAUGUAGUAGCCUAGUGGUACACUUCUUCGAUCAGGUACCUUUAGUUUAUCCUGUAGUUUAUUUGGGUCCUUUCCAGUGAGUUUCUCUUCAUCUAAUUCCUUAGCCCAAUUGCCAUUCCUGAGUAUAGAUUUUAAUAGCACUUGCAUUUCUGGUCUAGAGGUAGGCUUUUUUAUCCUCAACUCAUACUUGGAUAGAUUUGAUUUUUAAAAAUCUAAUGACUCAAAUGUGAUAUUACAAUUUGCAAGUAAUUUCUUCAUACUGAGAUUUUCAUUUUUUACACAUAUAAUACUGCAUCCUGUCGCGUUAGUGUAAGCAAGUAUUCACACUAAAAACUGGUUCAUAAAAAAUGAAAAAAAUGUACUGCGUUCCCCCAACCCCAACCCAAAAAAAAAAAAAAGAAAAAGGAAAAAACGAGGCGUUAUCUUUAUCGUGUGCUAUAAAAUGAAAUGCAACCUAUAUCAUAUGGGAGCAGUAUCAAAAACCCAAUUCAUUCCUUCCUGUUCCUGGUGUUCAUUUCUUCUGCACUCACCCAAACCCAAAGCCGAAGCCUAAGCCUAAGCCUAACCCCUACCCCUUUGGCCUUCGCAUUUCGCAAUCAAAUAGGUCCCCGAAACUCCAGAGCACUCUUCUCUUCAUCUGCGUCUUCUUCUUCGUCCACCAAAACCCCCCGCGACCCAAAUCCCAACCCUAUAACCCGUAACCGACCACCCGCCCGCCCGCUUCUCGCCGUUUCCCUGACCUCUCCAAUUAGCCGCCCCCAGCAUUUCUAACCCUUCCCUCUUGCAAUUCACAGGAAUACAAACAUAUAACGCACGCGGUUAUAAAUUUCUCUUUUUCUUUUUUUUUUUUGGCUGUUUCUGUGUUCUCCAGAGGCAGUUGUAGAUACAGGUGGUGUUGUUGUUUGGGAAAAUGGUAGGAGGCGGAAACAAGAAGGACGAUUUAGUGAUGAGCAACAAUAACGUUUUUGCUGCUUUGGGAAGUUUAAGGAAGAAGAAGAAGUCUGCCGGCUCAUCGGAUAAGGAUGGGAAGAGCAAGAGCUCUUCUUCGUCUUCUUCUAAGAAGCAGGAACCAAAGGUGGAGCCCGAGCCUCAGGUUUUCUGGUCGCCAGCGCCUUUGACGAACAAAUCCUGGGCUGACGUGGACGACGAGGAUGAUGAUGAUUAUUAUGCCACCAACGCGCCCCCUCAGUCUGUUUGGGGCCGUGCCUCUGGUGCCGCCGAGGAACUGCAGACCUUGCCUAAGGAGAGCUCCACUCCUGUCGAGGUCUCAAAGCUUUUGUUAAUUUUUUUUGAACUUUUCUUUGUUUUAAGCAUUAAACUGAUUUUAUAUUUUUAUUUUUUAUUAAUGGAAUAUCUUGCUGUUUAUUACUGUUUCAUUUGUUAGCGUUUUUUUCCUUCCCUUUUUUAACCUUAAAUGAAUCAUGCUAGUGUGCCAUUUUGUAGCGAUUAGGAUUUCUGCUGCAGGAAUUUUUUUUUUUUUUUAGCGAUCAAAGAUGUCAUUUAAUGUUUUGCAAGUGUUGAUAUGAUACUGUUUGCGGAAAACUCAGAGAAGAAAAUAGGGUGGAAUGAAGAAAGGAAAAGGUUGAUGGCAUAUUAGUUGGCGUGUUUUGCUAUUGUUAAUGAUUGUUGAGAUCUAGUGUCUUUAAUGAUUUGAGCUAAUGAUUAGGUCUCUUGCUUCUGUUUUUGGAUACCUGUUCUGUUUUGAUUUGGAAGAUAAGAUUUGAAUUUUCAAAUGUAGUUGCAAUUUCGCAAUGUUCAGAAUGGUUCAGGAUUUUGUCUUGAGCCGUUGAUUGCAUUAUAAACCAAAAACGUGGAACUGAUUUCCUUCAUAGAAAGGAAAGAAAGAAUUCUGAAACAGCUUCCUGCGGGAAGGGCUUAUUUUUUGUUGGGUAUUUGGAAACAGUUUCUUAACUUGUGGUAUGGACACUUUUUAAAUAGAAAUCAUCAUGUAGAUUUCUUCUAUUUUUGGUUGGUGAAAUCUUGUGUAUGAGAAACAUCAUCUUACUUGACUACUGCUUUUGAUAUGGCUGGAAGUUGCAAAAUUUGAUCUUCUAAGGACAUUUGUCGUUUGCUUGGUCUUCUAAAGAUUCUUGCCAUUUGUCAUCUGUUUGGGAUUUGUAGGACUUUCUCUAUGUUCAUGCUUCAUUUUUGGAUACUUCAGCACGUCAAUUUGUCGAAGAGCACGCAAAUUGGCAUCGUUUAUCAAUUAUUUUGGUUGCUUUGAGAAUCCGUUAACUGCCAUUUAUGGUGUCAGUCUCCUUUAAAUUUUGCCAAGUUGGUUACAUGGCCUCCCAUCGAGACUCAUGUCUUUCUUUUUCCUGUUUUGGUGGAACUAUUAUUUACAUGUCCUUUUCCAAUUUUAGUCAUUUCUUUGCAUAGAAUUCCUUUUUAGCUUCAAAAUGCUCAAAACCUUAUUAUAGGGUAAGAAGUAUACCUGUGACAAUUAUAGGCUCCAUGAAAGAACUCAAACUAAGCCAAACUUAGGUUUAGGAGACAUUGCUGCUGACUUUUUACUAAGGAAUUGAAACUACAAUCAAUCCUUAUUUUCUCCGAGAAGGAAAAAUUCCCGGACUAGUUGAAAAGUAGACCAGCAGAUUUUCUAAAACACCCAACGAUAGUCAAGUCCCUUGACAUCAAUUAAUUUCUUGCUUCAUAUGAUUUGUGAAUCUUACAUUCGCUACAUUCCAAAAGAAUUGGGAUUUUUUUCCCUUUUGGUUGGUGGUCAACAAUUGUUUGCAAGCGCUCUCUCUCUUUUUCUCUCUCUCUUAGGUUUUCCUUUUUUGGGGGUUUUAAUAUCUGAUUUUUUCUUUUGUCAGUGUGCAAGUGCGCUCUCUCUAUAGUUUUCCUUUUUUUAAAAUUAUUUUAAUAUCUGAUCUUUGUAAGGAAUGUUUAAUUUACUUAUUUUUGUUGUCUGUUUGGAGUAACAGUUUAGUGUACGUACUUACCGAUGGAUGUAAAUAGGUUAAGUGGUCUAUCCAUCUAAGCCAGUAAGAACAACCAUUGUUCUUUUCCUGGUUCCGACAGAUUAUUUAGUGUGGGAGUUUGGUGGAUGAAUGGGUUUGCUUGAGAAUUGAACCCUCUGUAUGAUGUUGGGGAUCAUUAGUACUUGCAGUAUGUGCAAGCAAUUGAGAAGAGAAUCUUUGAUUACAGCAUGGUGGUUGACCUGCCUCUUUUUUUUAACUCUUAAUACAUGUGUGGGUACCUUCGCCCAAUAGAAUUAUGUGUACUAAAUCAUGUACGUCAAAUGAAAUUGAGAUGCUAUAGCAGAUGGAAUGAUGACAAUUAAUAAAAGCAAAGGGCUCUGCUUUGGGUGGCUAGAUUUGUUACAAUUUUUUUUGGCUUUCCUCUUGGCUAAGCAUUUAUGUGAAGGCAUCAUGUCUCUUCCUUGAGUUGUUUGAUCUGGAGAUCUACAGGCCCCAUCUUUGAAUCUCUAUAGGCUUCUUUUGGUUGCAUGUCUAUUGAAUGAUGGUCUUGCUUGCUAAUUUGCUUGAUGCUGAACGACUUGUGACACCUUCAGUCAAAGUUCAUGCCUUUUCUCUCUCAUUUUUCCAACUUUGAUACUGAGGAUGUGAGAACCUUUUUCAGUCAAUUUGGUUUACAAAUUUCGUAUUCUACUUGCAUCAUCACCUGUUUGGUUUUCAUUGUCACAAAUAAUUUCAUGCAUCCUUUGGUUCCUUUUUGUCUUUCUUUAACUUUUAAACUUGGGCAUUUGGUUAAGUAUUUUUUUUUAUCUUUUUGUACUUGUUCCCUGUAAAGGCAGACAGUUAAAAUGACCAACUCUCAUGUCUUGUGGACAUCAGGAAAGUGAAAGUGAAGAAGAAGGUAUUGAUGAAGUGGAUGAUGAUAAUGAGGAUGAACAUGAGCAUGAAUCUGAGGUACCGGUAGAGAAAGAGCCUGUAACUAAGAAGCCUGCAGAAAUUCUGGUACCUAAGGAGUCAGAAAGGCAGUUGUCAAAGAAAGAAUUGAAGAAGAAGGAAUUGGCUGAGCUUGAAGCAAUGCUCGCUCAAUUUGGAUGUAACAAGCCUGACGAAGAAGAUGCAUCCCAAGGUAAGUUCUGUUUUCUCUAUUUCUUUGUUUUUCAUUAGGCAACUAAGUCAAAAGUAGUCUCUUAUUUUUAUGCUGCAACAUAUCAUAAAUGUCAACAUGUGAUUAAUUCCUCUGAGCCUACAAUUUCAUGAUUGUGGCUUGCAAAGAAGCUAUUUGCUAAUUAAGAAAUUUUCCAUUGUCUUAAUUUGACGUCUUUUGCUUCAUAUUAAUUUGUUAUACUGUUUCUUACAUCCUUUUCUUCUUCUUCUUCUUUUUUGCUUUUUGGUGGAGGAGAAGUUGGAGUGUCAUUGUGCGGUACAGCAUUAGAUGGUUGAAUUCUUACAGACUGUUCUUUGCGGCAUGCCCAAAACUUGUUAUUUUAAUUUUCUUUUUGUCUGGAAAUGUGGUUCGUUGUUCUUAACUUGCAUGUUGCUACUCUCAGGCGUUCAAGAUAAGAAGGUGGAGGCUCUGAAUGAGGAGGUGAAUAAGAAGGAGAACACUGCUCCAGGCGAGAGCAAGAGUGCAAAAAAGAAGAAAAAGAAGGAUAAAUUGUCAAAGGAGUCCAAAGAAGAACAGGAUCAGGCUGUGGGUGUUGAGGUUGGAAGUGGAACUGAUGGGAACGUCAGGACUGAGGAGUUAGAAGAUGAACCUGUAGAUGUGAAAGAGAAGAUAAAGAAGGUAGCAUCAAUGAAGAAGAAAAAGUCUAGCAAGGAAUUGGAUGCUGCUGCCAAAGCGGCAGCUAGUGAGGCUGCUGCAAGGAGUGCAAGACUAGCUGCAGCAAAGAAGAAGGAGAAGAGUCACUACAACCAGCACCCCCAGCGGUAGAUCUUUUUGAGUAAUAUGAGCAUGUAUUCUCUUGUUCAUUGUUAAAUGACAGUAAACAAACAAUAGAUAUUUUGCCAUUUAAAGUGACUCUUGAGAGAUGUUACCUUUUUGUUUAAAUCUAGAGAAAUUUCAUGGAUCUUGAAAUUAGGUUCCUUGAUCUUUCCCUUUAUCCUCCUUUUUAUUAAAAUUUCUUCAUUUCCUGCUCUUUGGUAAAUUUGCUAUGGAUGUUUUACUGAGUCAAUAAAUAAAUGGAUUAACGCAAUUGAUUCUUCAUGAAUGUGGCUGGUAGAGUAAGCCAUUAAGGGCGCGAAAUUUUCUAGGAUAUGAUGGUCUCGAAUGUGCUUUUCCUCCCCCGAUGUAUGUCUUAUGGUUUUGCUAGAUGUAUUAGCUUCUGUUUAGUAGAGUCAUAGGUCAAUCCGUACCAUUGUCAAGUUCACUUCUUUCCUUUUCACCUAUGGAGGAGGACCAGCCCACCCGAAGCUAGCGUUUUCUUCCAGGUCGAGUUCUGCGUAACCAUUUUGCACGUAAAGAAAUUUUUAGUAAAAUAAAGCUAAAUUUAUGGUAUAUACCUAGCUACUUUCCAACCUCCGUUCUUCACCUAGCUAUAUGGGCGCCUUGCAGUUUUGUCAAUUUGGACUCAGCUAUUUCACCGUUCGUACCCUUGGGUUUGCACUUAUCAUGUUUCAGCUAUGCUACAAAAAUUUUGGCACUUUGUAUGCGGACAUUUUCUACCAGUCCUUAAUAAUUUAUGGUAUCAAAGGAUUACGUUGAAUAUCCAAAUGUUAUGCACGCCUUCCGUACUUAUUUGACUGAAGGUGUCAAUCUAUAUACAGAUGAAGGUGGAAUGUGUGACAUGGAUGUAUCUAGGUUUACUUUUUGAAUACCAAAUUUCAUGUUGCAAAAGGUGCAGAAUAGAAAUUUUGGGUGUAAAGUGAAAAUGGUUUGAGACCAUGCAAGUGUAAAGUCACGCUGGUACUAUUUUCAGAAAGGGUCUUAACCGUAUAUGUACAAAAUCCCAAGGGCAUUCAUAACUCUGUUGGAUAUACCACCACCAGCAAAUCACCAACUUUCGUGUACUACUGAUACGCACACAAAAAUCCGAGGCAGAGAGGAUUAAGCAUUGUGCAGAAUCAUGAAAAAUAUCAAUAUCAACUGCUUCACACCAAACGAUGCAUGAUAACCUCCAGUUUUGCCGUCUGUAAUCUUUGCAUUUUCAAUUUCUAUAAAGUCUUCCACAAGGCCCAUCAACCCGUCGUGCUCCGCCUCAUGGCCCCAGGGGUUGAAGAGCUGCAAUUUCCUCAUCUUCAGAUUCCGGUAUCCAUAAAAUCCAUUUCUCCCGUCCUCCCUGCAUGUCCCGUCCCAGCAGCCGACGGCGAUACCCUUUACCUCUCGAAUCUUGAUGACGCGAUUGGUGUGCGAGUUUUUACUCCUACCGUCUACUUUUACCGAUCAAACAGCGAGAAACCGGUCGCGUCGGUUCUCAGAGAUGCUCUGGCAAGCGUUUUAGUGCCUUACUUCCCCUUCUCAGGUAGGCUUAGGGAGGCGAAAAAUGGGAAGUUGGAAGUGUUUUUUGGACCUCAACAAGGUGCACUUUUCAUUGAAGCUCAAACGGAUAUGUCCUUAGCCGAUCUUGGAGACGUGACCGUGCCAAACCCUGCAUGGACGGCAUUGAUCUACAAGUUCCCUGAUGAAGAGCAGUACAAAGUCAUUGACAUGCCGUUAGUAAUAGCACAAGCGACUCAAUUUAGCUGCGGUGGCUUUAGUCUUGGGCUGAGGAUGUGCCAUUGUCUUUCCGAUGGGGUUGGAGCUAUGCAGUUCCUGAGUGCGUGGGCUGCCACAGCGAAAGCCGGCUCGUUGGUUGUGAAUCCCAAGCCUUGUUGGGAUCGUGAAAAUUUUCGGCCCCGCAAUCCUCCUAAGGUUCAAUUUCCGCAUACAGAGUACAAGAGAAUUCUCGAUGGCUCAACUCUGACGAAGAGCCUGUGGGAAGUUAAGCCCAUUCAGAAAUGUUAUCGGAUUAGCCGCGAUUAUCAAGCCCGUUUGAAGACCUUGGCUCAAGCGGGAGGGGAUUUGCCAUGCACCACAUUUGAUGCCAUGGCAGCCCACGUGUGGAGAUCCUUUGUGCAAGCAUUGGAUGUGAAGCCUCUGGAUUUUGAGCUGCGCCUGACAUUUUCCGUCAAUGCAAGGCCGAAGCUCAAAAAUCAGCCGCUGAGUGAUGGUUUUUACGGCAAUGUACUGUGCGUAGCAUGUGCCACGAGCACCGUCCACGGACUUGUUAACGGAUGCCUCUCGGACGCAACCUGGCUGAUUCGCCAGGCUCGGUUGGAUGUUUCCGAGGAAUAUUUGAGAUCUACAAUUGACUACAUCGAAGUUGAUAGGCCCAUGAACCUGGAAUUCGGAGGAAAGCUGACAAUAACACAAUGGACUAGGUUUUCGAUUUACGAGUGUACUGAUUUUGGGUGGGGAAGGCCCAUUUACGCCGGUCCAAUAGACUUAACUCCAACGCCUCAAGUGUGCGUUUUCUUGCCCGAGGGAGGAGCUGAUUCCGAGGGUGCCAUGCUAUUGUGCAUCUGUUUGCCGGAAUCGGCUUCGCGCAGAUUUGGGGAACUUUUAUCGCUCAAUGAGAUUCCAUUAACGGCUCGUGAAGUGAGAGACAGCCAAGGUGGUAAGUGUUAAUAUAAUAACCCCACCUUACUCUUCAUUCCUGCAGGGUUAUUGCGAUCUUAGUCUAACUAGAUGUUAAUUUUGAUCCCAUAACCUGUAAAUUAAUUCUGCUGUGCAAUAAAUUUAUUUCCCAUUAUCUCUUUCAUAAUGGAAAGAAAGAAAGCUAAUUCUAACGGAGAAUAGGAUACUAAAAGUAAGAUGGUCAACGUCUAUUUUCUAACACUCAAACUCAAUCUAUCUUCUCUCGUGAUGGAUUGAAAGUAAAACCCAAAACGAUAAUAAUAAUUAGUACUUAAGACUGCAGAGUCAUUCACAGAUAUCUUCCCUAGCAAACUCAUUGCAUUUUAAUUCUCUCCUGUUGUUACGCUCCGCAAGACUGGCCUGCAGAUUAGAUUAAUCAAAGCUGAAUUGGACCCAAAUCAAUUACUAGUUUCAGUUACUACUGUAAAUUUGGGGUUACAACGUGGAACGGUUGAAGGAUGGAAAAAGUACCUGUAUCCUUGUACUAUAUAAAAAAAAAUGAGUUGUGAUGAAAGAGGGUUCGAAAAAUGAGUUGUGAUUAAAGAGGGUUUGAAUUUCAGUCGUAUGGAUAGGAAUUAUUUGGAAAUAUGAAAUGUUAUAUAGUUUUAUUAAAAUUUUUAGUACGGCUGAGGGCAGUAUGUGCUUAGAUAUAUUUACCAAAAUGCCCUUAUUUUGUACGAGUGUGUACUGCAAUUAAAAUGUAUUAUUAUUAAUUUUAUCAUAUUUAAUAAUUAUUUCUUUUCUGGAUGUACUAUUAUUUGUUGAAUAAAAGAUUUUCUAUAAUCACCGAUACCCAACAUCCACGGGAUGUACACGCAUUCCCCUAGUUUUGCCUCUAAUAACGUCCCCAGUCCCCACCCUGAUAAUAAUGUUGCUGUCGGCACAUUAACAAAAAGUACUACACACGACUCUCCAAUCCCGCAGGUGUUCUCUCUCAGUUUACCUAGUAAGUAUAAUGUUUUCUUCGUGUUGACUCUCUUGAGAAUUUCUGAUGAGAGAGAUAAUUAGACAGAAUGCUGGCACAUCAUCAUAAAAACUGUUACAAAAGCAGAUGGUACCAAAUUCGGGCAAGCGUUGCGGAUAAUAAACCAAAUUCAUACCCCCUGCUGCUGCAUAAUAAACCAACGGAAUUUAAGGAGGUCUUUGCUGCUAAGACAUUUUUGUCACUUUGUAUGUGACGGAGAGAAGUAGGACUAGUCCAAGAAAACGAAAACAAAAGGCCUCCAUUUCCCAUUCCGAUGUUUCCCAUUCCGAUGUUUUCAGUCGGUUAUCACGCAAAGUGGCGCAACUUAUAACAAAAGCAUUUCCAGUUCAUAAAACUCCCAUUUCACCCCACUUUCCAUUUUCAAUACUUGACUUUCCUUUUUAUUUUUGUCCCUUUUAUUUUUUUGACGGAGAAUAUGGCUUUCAAAACCCAUUAAUCAAUAAUAUGUAAUCAAAGUGAGUAGUCUAUCUAUUAUCUUCCAAAAGGAGGGUGAGGAAAACAGAUAAUAAAAAAUCUUAUCUCGCAAAAAUAUACAGUAUAAUUUUUCUUAAUAAAAAGUGCGAGGGAAAAAAAGAAAAAGAAAAAAGGGAAAAAAAAUGUUGCCAAGCCAGAAAGAAUUGCUUGGCAUCUUGAAAGCCCCCAUUCUCCUUUCUCAGUAGCUCUCUCCUCAGUGGUUAGUCUCCCUUUCUCCUAUCAAUCUUUGAUGCGAUGCGAUCGAAUUUUUUUCGUGGCUAAAUUCUGUCUCUCGAUCAAGGCGUCGUAAGAUUUUCCCAAUUUCUAAUUUCGCCCCCGAGAUUGAUUUGGUAUUUACAUGUUUUAGCUCUCUACAAUUUCGGAACAAUAAUUCUGCUACUCAUUGCGCCAUCAUCCGGUGAUCGACGAAAUCACAUGCGAACUACGACGUCGUUUGAUGCAUUAAUAGCAGGCCAGACUGCAGAUUGAGUUUUCGUUAAUGCUUUAGAGUUAGUAAUCGGCUUUCGGUUGCUAUAUUGAUUGAGGACCUUUUUUUUUUGCAAUUUGUUCCCACCCAAAGCGGUGGGCGAUGUCUAACCUGCAGAAAAAGUGACGGAUGAGAGAUUGGGUUUUGAUGGUUAGGGUUUUUGGAUUGAUGCUUCGAAAUUAAAGGAUCCAAUUUCUUCCUAAUUGGAUAUUUUUUAAGAAGCGUGAAACAAUUUUGAAGCGCUGGGUGCGAAUCAGUCGCGGCCGAGACCGCCGUCCGCGGCCGGUGGUUCACCGCUAUGGUUCUUCCUUCGGCCUAGACCACCUCAGCCCUACUCUCUCCGAUACCUUCCUCAAAUGGACUUCGUCAGCCGCCAUGCUGCUCCUUCCUCCUCCAGCGACAACCACGACCAGCAACAAUCGCGCCAGCCGCCGACAGAAUCCGCUACCUCCACCUCCUCCUCCGCCGUUGCUGCACCUGCUUCUAAUGCUCCCGAAGAACCGGAGUAUUUGGCGCGCUACAUGGUCGUCAAACACUCUUGGCGCGGGCGAUACAAGAGAAUUUUAUGCAUUUCAAAUUGUACUAUAGUCACGCUGGAUCCUGGGACGUUAGCUGUGACCAACUCGUACGAUGUUGGGAGCGAUUUUGAAGGGGCGUCCCCCAUUAUUGGGAGGGACGAGAAUUCGAAUGAGUUUAAUAUAAGCGUGAGGACCGACGGGAAGGGCAAGUUCAAGGCUAUUAAGUUUUCGUGCAAGUACAGAGCGAGUAUAUUGACUGAAUUGCAUAGAAUAAGGUGGAACAGGCUUGGAUCAGUAGCCGAGUUCCCAGUGUUGCAUCUUCGGAGAAGGACAGCUGAAUGGGUUCCUUUCGUAAGUUUUCUAAUUUUCCGUUCCAUAACUGUUGAACUAGUAGUAUUCUUAUACUUCCGGGUGGGCACAUGCACGCACUCCUUGAGAUCCUUGUACUCUUCAGGGUUGAAUUUUUUGGCUGAGCACAAUCGUGCUGUGUGCUAUGCAUGCUUAUUUAUCUUUGUCAAGCUGAAAUAUGUUCUUAGAAGGGUACAAUCAAUUUUUCCUAGUUAAACCUCGGGAAAAUGGUGCUUACUAUACAUACUAACCAUUUGAAGACUUGGAAGAAGCUAUAGGAAUUUGAAAACCUCGAACUGUGAGGUUAGUAUGAUCAUGAAAGGGCGAGCAAAGGAUUUCUUUUCAUUGUUGAUGUCCUUGUGCAUUCACUCUGCCACUUUCAAGUCACAGUUAGGAGGAAAAUUGAACCAGACACCAUAGAACUAGCCAUGCUGUUUUGUGUAGGAUACUGAACUCCUAUAGGAUUGAUGUAUUGAAAUAUCUUGAGUACUAUGUAAAGAAAGGUAAGAGACGAAAAGUCAGAGAAUACCUUGAAUUGGUUUGCCAUAAAAUCUCUAUCUGCUUCAUCUGCCUUUCUUUCUCAAGCUGCAAACAGAGUUUGCAAGAAUUGCAAAGCAACUGUUUUGCAAAUUUAAGGCAUCUUUUUGCCUUUUGGGGGGAAUUCUCACAUUUAGCUGUUGACUUAUUAAGUUUAUUCUUUUCCUUAUAAGAGAGAAGCUCUGAAAUUUUUAAUGCUCAAUUCUCAUAGUUGUGUUUAUGAUCUUUGUUGUUUUACCUACCUAGAUCCUUGAUUGCAUCUGAAGAUAUAGUUUCAUAUGCUGAGCUAUUUGAUUACUUUGCUUCUGGUUGUUAAUGCUGGAAUUUAUUUUAUGCAGAAACUAAAAGUUACUUAUGCUGGAGUUGAACUUAUUGACUCAAGAUCUGGGGAUCUUCGUUGGUGCUUGGACUUCAGAGAUAUGAGUUCUCCUGCAAUUAUCCUUCUGUCCGAUGCUUAUGGGAAGAGAAACAUCGAUCAGGGGAGCUUUAUUCUCUGUCCUCUUUAUGGAAGAAAAUCAAAGGCUUUCCAGGCUGCUUCGGGAACUUCGAGUGCUGCCAUAAUAUCAAUUGUGGUAUGUAGGCUUUUGUUUCGUAUUGUGGUAUAAAGUGUUGCACUGAGAUUCACAUUAAGUUUUAUCUUUAUUCAUACUGUGCCAAUCUUCUUUUACUGAUUUAAACUUUAAGCUCUGACACACUUCAAUUAUUUGCAUGCAUCUAAUAAUUAUUUGCACUAAUUAGAUGUCUGAAUAUUGAUGAGCAGACUAAAACUGCUAAAUCGAUGGUUGGAUUAUCGUUAUCGGUUGACAGUAGUCAGUCCCUUACCAUCACUGAGUAUAUAAAGCAAAGGGGUAACUCUUCAAUCUAUUUGUAAUUUGCGGCUUCCUUGUUUGUAGUAGGUUGAUCUUCUUUAUAAUCUUUGUGCAUGAAAAAUUGCAGCCAAGGAGGCUGUUGGGGCAGAAGAAACCCCUUGUGGUGGUUGGUCUGUUACGAGGUUGCGGUCUGCUGCUCAUGGAACACUAAAUUCUCCUGGAUUGAGUUUGGGAAUUGGCCCAAAAGGUGGCCUUGGGGAGAAUGGUGAUGCUGUAUCACGUCAACUUAUUCUCACAAAGGUCUCACUUGUUGAAAGGCGUCCAGAGAACUAUGAGGUAAGUUGAUGAUGUCAAAAUCUUUGGGUUUAGAGAGGUGCCAUGCAGUUACAGAUUAUCUUUUGUAUCUAUUGGGAGGAUUGACCUGAUAUAUGAGGCUGCAAUUCCAUGGUAGGAUUCCUAGGAUGCCAAGCAUUAUGAUAUGUGGAGAAUUGCAAAAGAAAACAACAAGUUAAUCUAAUGAUUAUCUAAUGACUUCUACCUAUUUAAUGGUUUGUUGCCUCCAUUGGCUGUUUACUAAUUUGCACAAGUUCUACUUGUCUUCCUAUGGCUAUUUAUUAUUCUUGGUAUAACAAUUACACUCUGUCUUGCGUUAACUAGCCACUAUGGAGAACAGCUACAAAAGAUUGACCAAGAUUGUUGACAUUAUCUGUUUUGAAUCCUUUGGCAGUUAUUUAAUCUGAUGAUGAUAAACAAACUUUGAAUCAGAAUGGAACUUGGAGAUGAUAUGAAAGCGCUUAAAGGCAUUGGCACUUUAAGCUUUCUACUAAAAAAAGGAGAUGGUAAAAAAAAUGGAAACCCCUUUGUAUUUGAAUAAACUGGGGCACAAAUAUUUCUUUUCUUUUAUUUAGUCUUGAAUAAAGAAUUUGGUCUUCUCAACACCUGGUUACUUCUUAGGUAUUUCUUUUUUAUGGUAGAGGAUCUGUAAAGAAAGAAAAGAAGGUUCUUUGGUGUAUUGCUUAAGUUUUUCUUUGUAGAAAUUAUUGCAGCUUGUGAACUGAACUGCAACAAACCAGCAAAGAAUUGGCACAAUAUUGUUUGCAUAUAUGUAUAGAUGGAGUUCUGAAAGUGAACCUUCUUCUCAAUAAUUUUCUUGUGAAGUUUGUGAUCAUAUUGAGCAAUACUGAAAUGUCAUUGAUUUUACGCAGGCUGUUAUUGUUCGUCCCUUAUCUGCUGUUAGUGCUCUUGUUCGAUUUGCUGAGGAGCCUCAGAUGUUUGCGAUUGAAUUUAAUGACGGGUGCCCAAUUCAUGUGAGCAUCUUUACUUCCUAAGCUUGUGAUGAAUUAGUUAUGGAGGUGCAAGCUCUCAAAUUGAUGCUUUUGGUUUCAGGUUUAUGCCAGCACGUCUCGCGACAGCUUGCUAGCCGCUGUUAAAGAUGUAUUGCAAACAGAAGUAGGUACAUGUGCUCUCUCUUGGUUGCGUAUGCCAGAUACUUUUGCUAAAUAAUCUGCAUGAUAUUGUGUCCAUAUACAGAUGGAGUUCUCAAAGUGAACUGUUUACUCAAAAAGGUCUUGUAAUUUGGUUCAUUAUGGCUUUCUAUACUGUUCUGCAGGGUCAGUGUCCAGUCCCUGUAUUACCAAGGCUCACAAUGCCUGGUCAUCGGAUUGAUCCACCUUGCGGUAGAGUACAUCUACAAAUUCAGCAACCUCCUCCUGCACAACAGCGUUCUGUUGCAGACAUGGAAAAUGCAGCCAUGCAUUUGAAGCACUUGGCAGCUGCUGCAAAAGAUGCUGUGGCUGAAGGAGGCUCAAUUCCUGGAUCAAGAGCUAAACUGUGGCGCAGAAUAAGAGAAUUUAAUGCAUGUAUCCCAUAUAGUGGAGUUCCUCCCAAUGUUGAAGUACCUGAGGUGACUCUGAUGGCCUUGAUCACAAUGCUCCCAGCUGCUCCCAAUCUUCCUCCAGAGGCACCUCCUUUGCCACCUCCUUCUCCUAAAGCUGCUGCUACAGUUAUGGGUUUCAUUGCAUGUUUACGCAGGUUGCUUGCUUCAAGAAGUGCUGCCUCGCAUGUGAUGGCUUUUCCUGCUGCUGUUGGGAGAGUCAUGGGAUUGCUUAGAAAUGGUUCUGAGGGGGUAGCUGCUGAAACUGCGGGUCUUAUUGCUGCACUUGUUGGGGGUGGUCCUGGGGAUACAAGUGUAUUAACAGAUACAAAAGGAGAACGACAUGCAACGUAUAUGCAUACAAAAUCUGUAUUAUUUGCUAACCAGAAUAGUCUAAUAAUAUUAGUCAACAGGUUGGAACCUAUGUCUGCAUCACCAUUGUUGUCAAUGUCUGUUGUUGAGGUUCUUGAGGCAAUGAUCUGUGACCCAAGUGCUGAAACAACCCAAUAUGCAGUUUUUGUAGAUUUAUUACGUCUGGUUGCGGGUUUGAGACGCCGCUUGUUUGCAUUGUUUGGACACCCUGCAGAAAGUGUACGGGAAACAGUGGCUGUCAUUAUGCGUACAAUCGCUGAAGAAGAUGCUGUUGCGGCUGAAUCCAUGCGUGAUGCUGCUUUACGUGAUGGUGCAUUACUUCGGCAUUUGCUACAUGGAUUUUACCUUCCUGCUGGUGAGCGCCGUGAGAUUAGUCGGCAACUUGUUGCUCUUUGGGCAGAUUCUUAUCAGCCAGCUCUUGAUUUGUUAUCUAGAGUUCUACCUCCAGGCCUUGUUGCUUAUCUGCAUACACGUUCUGAUGGAGUUUCAGCAGAGGAUGUAUCCAAUCAAGAGGGAUCUUCACUGAGCAGGAGACAGAGGCGCUUACUCCAGCAGAGGAAGAAUCGUCCUGUAAGAGGGAUAACAUCCCAGCAACAUUUAUCUCCUAAUAUGAACAACUUAGAGGCUGUUGAUCAGACCAGGCAGCCAAAUUCUGGAGCAACAGAUAGUUAUAAAAAAUCUGCCACAGAUCUGAGGUCUGGACAUGCACCAAACAUUCCAUCUCCUGCAGUUCAUGGAGGUGAGAACCUUCCAAGUGAGUUGUCAAGUACAGGGAUCAUGCAAAGUAACCAUUCAGCCACCGUUGAUUCUUCAGAUGUUCCUUCAAUAAAUCAACAAGAACCCGUUGACUCCAAUGCUAGCAGUUCAGUUGAUUCUGAUGCCAAUAUAGUUAGUAACCAGAAUGGGGGGCUGCCUGCACCUGCUCAGGUAGUUGUCGAGGAUGCUACUGUGGGUUGUGGAAGGUUAUUAUUGAACUGGCCUGAGUUUUGGCGAGCUUUCAGCCUUGAUCACAACCGAGCUGAUUUGAUAUGGAAUGAGCGCACCAGGCAGGAGUUGCGAGAGGCUUUGCAGGCUGAGGUUCAUCGACUUGAUGUUGAGAAAGAACGUACAGAAGAUAUUGUUCCUGGAGGCGGAACUACAGACAUUAUCACCGGUCAAGUUAGUGUAUCUCAGAUUUCAUGGAACUACACAGAGUUUUUUGUUAUGUAUCCUAGCUUAUCAAAAGAAGUUUGUGUGGGUCAGUAUUACCUUCGUCUGCUGCUUGAGAGUGGCACCAGCGGGAGAGCACAGGAUUUUCCGCUGCGUGAUCCUGUUGCUUUCUUUAGAGCCCUCUAUCAUCGAUUUUUAUGUGAUGCAGAUACGGGGCUAACUGUAGAUGGUGCUGUUCCUGAUGAACUGGGCUCUUCUGAUGAUUGGUGUGAUAUGGGAAGAUUGGAUGGUUUUGGAGGCGGUGGUGGUUCCUCAGUUAGGGAACUGUGUGCUAGGGCAAUGGCAAUUGUGUAUGAGCAACAUUACAACACUGUGGGCCCAUUUGCAGGCACUGCACAUAUCACUGUUCUGUUGGAUAGGACUGAUGAUAGAGCUUUAAGACACCGUCUUCUUCUUCUGUUGAAGGUAUGUCUCAAUUACUUUUUUUUAGCUUCUCUGUGUGGGUAAUUUUACUUCACCACAGACUGGGGGGCUGGGGGAUUUGCAAACAGAGAACAUUGUAAAGGAUAGAACUUCUGAAGGUGAGGUUGAGAGAUGAAUGUGUUAUUUCAGGUGUUGGGACAUAUUGUGAAAAAGCUUUUCAGUGACUAAAGGCAAGACAUUUCUGAAAUUUCUUUGAUCAUCUUAAAACUGAGAGUUAAGUCUCAUCUAUCCAGACUUAUCCAAAGAGCGUAUAAUAAUCAUUGUUGAAUUGGAUCUUUUGAGACACGGUAAAUGGUCUCACAAGGCUAGUACUCUUUUCAGCUUCUUUGGGCAGUUAGGAACUUGGGUUUUUUAAAGUGCCUGUUUCUAUAAGAAUAUUCUUUUAAAUGACUUGGUGACAAUUCAACUGUUGUUGUGCCUUGCCUCUUUUGAAGUCUUAAUCAGAAUGCUGAUUACCUAUUGCAGUUGCUUUUUAUUCAUUGUUUUUUAGAGAUUUCUUGAUCCUUAUAAACUUUUUGGUAUUGUGUCGUCGUAUUUUAUCACUUUCUUGUGCAUAGUUUGUGUUUUAUCGUCCCUUGGAUUUGUCAGCUCUCCUGCCCAAGGGAAGUUUAUGGCAUUUGCUUUUGAUUUGUGUCUUCUCCCAUGUUACCAUGGUACUAAAGUCUUUUUAUUUUCACUUUAAACUAGUGGAGUUUGAGAAGUUUCUUCCCCAAUUUUUUUUUUCAAUAUGUAUAAAAUAUUUGGGGAGAGCAUCAGGCAAUGAAUUUAAUUAUGCAUGCAUGGACCACUUUCAUAAACUUUUAGUUUCAGCAAAGCUACUGAAGAUUCUGUAUAAAGCCUAGAAAAAGAAGAAAUGGCAGCUGUGCUGAUGGUUUUCUAUUGGCAGUUGUUGAAAUUCUUGUUACCGUUUCUGAAAGACAUAAUAUGAACUUUUUACAUUACAAAUUGACCAGUAUUCAUUGGUGGCCACACUAUGUUUUUGUGAUAUGAUGGCAGUGCUGGCGGUCCAAAAUACAGGUUUAUGGGCAGAGCUAUUUUGUGUUAUGUUCUAUCCUGUAUUUAGACACGUUUGGAAUUGUUAGGAACUGUUGAUCACUUGUUUCACCUAACUAAUUCCUAAUUGAUACAGAUUUUGAGUAAAGAAUCUGUUGAUAUUGGGUCCUCGGGUUUUCUGUGUGUUCCAGAAUAUUAAGGUGUACAUUAUCAUCAUCAUUUUUGACCUGGUUUUCUGGAGGAAAAAGUUGUUUCUCUUUUGUUUAGGUGGAGAUGAAUGUGGUUAGUUUUUGUUGUAACUUGUGUCAAUUUUAUGACUCAGCAUUUGUUGCUCUAUUUUAUCAAUUUUGUGUACCUUUGAACUCUGCUCCUUUUAUCAUGUUAUAUGAUGAAGAUUGUUGCAUGCCACAGUAAAUGAAGUUGGUUUUACAGCAGCAAGUUGUUAAUAAGUUUUCCAGUAGUUCAUCAAUACCAUUGGAUGGAUAUGAUGCUUCAUGUUUUAAACAAAUCAGCAAACAAGAAAAAGGGCUUAUGUGUUUGUUUAUUGUUUUUAACACAACCGAGAGGCUUCGUGCUUGGACAUCGAAAAGUUUUGUUGUCGAAAGAAACUUGGCCUUUUUCAUAUUCGAGUCCUGAUUACAAUUGAUUCUAGAGCAGCUGGAGUGGUCAUGUGUUUAAUUUCAUCUUUUUCUGCAUAUGCCUUCUAACAUUUUAUAAGCUUUGGAAGACUUGCUGAGUGCACUAAGGCCAACAAAUGUCGCUAUCUUUCGGGAUUUCAUAUGGACUUCAUAAGUUUGUAUUUUGGAUGAAGUCAAUGUGGUGGGGUCCAGACAUAUUUACUCUUAAAAUAGGAAGCUAAUGAAGAUAGACAUCUGACAUGUAUCAUGAAGUUACACUCCGGAUUAUUAUUUCAAAAUGGAGGCAAUCAUGUUUUCUGAAGUUCUCAUCAAGCUUAACUGCUGCCGGCUUGUUCAAUAGCUUUUUGAUCACCUUGAUUUUGUUGGUAAUAGAUUUGCAUGUCUUGGUACUGAUAAUUUUCUUCUUUGGGCAGGUGUUGAUGAAGGUUUUGUCAAAUAUUGAGGCUUGUGUUUUGGUUGGAGGCUGUGUCCUUGCUGUUGAUUUACUGACAGCAGUUCAUGAAGCUUCAGAAAGAACUGCUAUACCUUUACAGUCCAACUUGAUUGCUGCUACUGCUUUUAUGGAGCCCUUGAAAGAGUGGUUGUUUAUUGACAAGGAUGGUUCUCAAAUUGGACCAGUUGAGAAAGAUGCUGUCAGAAGAUUCUGGUCAAAAAAGGAAAUAAACUGGACUACAAGGUGUUGGGCAUCUGGGAUGCCUGACUGGAAGAGAUUAAGGGAUAUUCGAGAACUCAGAUGGACACUGGCACUUCGAGUUCCCGUACUCACUCCAAUCCAGGUAAUGUAACAUUGAAUAUGCACGAUGUAGAGAUGUUACUCCCUUGCAUUCUAGAUGGCAUGCUUUCCAUUCCAUAACAUUGGACAUUUGAAUCUUCAACUUUGGGCAUUUAUUUUUAUAUGUGUGUGUGUAUAUGAAAUGGCUACUGAUUUUAUGAGGUGAAAGAGCAAUAGUUUUCCCUGGAAUUUAAGAAAAAAAACCCCAAGCAAAAAAAUUUUAAACAGAAAGCUGACAGGGAAUUGCAUUAAUAACUGGCUGUUUUGAUCCUUCGGAAGAACUUGAUGCAUUUAUUAGAUCUUUUAAGUGGCACAGAAGCUCCUAAGUGACAAAGAAAGAGAACUCAAAAAUGUACACACACCGACAUGAAAAAAUUUGGUCGACUUGUGAAUGGUUUUGUAUGUUCAAUUUGUUUCCCAUUUUAUCUCUAUAAUUUGACUUUAAGUACGGCAAUAAUCCAAAAUUUCUUACUUUUUAGGUAUGAGUUAUCAAAUCUGAACUAAGAUAUGUACUUAUAUGAAGUAAUGAACUAUGGCACAUCAAAUGUGAUAGUGGGAGUCUGUGAAGCGUUGUUCUACUUAUGGAUUCAACAUGACCUGACAUUGUUCUUGGAUUCUUGCAGUUAUAGUCUUUUCUUUUGCUGCUGCUCUGGGAAUUUAUGGUCUAUUAUUUGACUUGUGUCAAAUUUUUUUUUUUUUUGGAAAAAUUAACUGGCAGAGAUGUAUCAUGUCAAAAUAUAUGGAGUAACAAUGGACAGAUUCAUAUUUACUGAAUCUUAGUGUGUGUCCGUCUCUCUGUCAACUUUAGCUUGCUAUGGUACUGUUUGUCUAAAGUCGAUGACUACUACUUCCAGGUUGGAGAUUCUGCAUUGUCUAUUUUGCACAGCAUGGUAGCUGCUCAUUCAGAUAUUGAUGAUGCUGGAGAAAUAGUUACACCAACACCUAGAGUAAAACGGAUCUUGUCGAGUCCAAGAUGUCUACCGCAUAUUGCACAGGUAUUUUGAUGUUUCUCGUAUCUUACUGCAUUUUGCAAUUUUUUGGAAUUGCUUUUAACUGGAGUGGAGGUGUCGGUAUACUGUUAUAUAGCAUCUCUAUAAUCAGAUAUGAUAAUCUGAACUGCUGGUUAGGUUUCAUUUGUGGAUCAAAGAAAAUAAUUUUGAUUGCUAGGAAGCUGGAAUGUUAGGUCAUUAACAGGAAAGCUUGUUAUUAGUUAUCUCACCAAUGAAAUUCAUGGAAGGCUUUGGAGUAUAAUUUGUAUAAGAUUCUGUGGUUCUCAGAAAUUUAUGUUGUUUACCACUAUUAAAAUGACAAUAUUUAAAGUUUUCUAAAUCCUUAUUAUUUGGGCUUUACUCUUAAUUUGUUGAUUGAUUUUAGUUACCAUUAGAGAGGUGGGAACUAAAAAUUUGGUUCAAAAGGUAGUUGUAGUGUACAGGAAUGUCCAUUCUUAAUUUCAUUUGAUUUGUGCCACAGAACAGUAUGUUGUUCUGGGGGAGUAAGCAUUGGCAUGUCUGACAUUUCUGAAUUAUUUAUAUCUAAUGUUCUGGCCAUUAGCUAGUCUUUGAAAUGGAUUGCUGUAUUGGUAAUGCUGUGUCAACUCUAUGCUGGCUUGGUUGCUUGUUAAAUUGGUUCAAUUAAAUCAACCUCAUUAUGUGAAAAUAAAAUUUGUAUUACAUGGGAGCCCUAGUAAUAUAUGGCUUGGCAUGUUCAUCUUUCAAAUUCCUGUGUAAGCAGUGGGUUAGGCUCUUUUCUAGCCUUAGAAAUGCAUAUUUACAAAAAGCUUGCUUUUAAGCACUGCAAAUUGUACAACAUUGUGUUUAGGUGAAACUACUAGAGCAAAGAUAUUGACAUGUCAUGAGCUGAGAUGCUUGUGGAACAUUAAAAGUUUGGAUAAAUAAGCUGGAGGAGAUUUGGAUUUAACUCUGUAAAGGAUAAUAUCUCUCUGCCCUUGAUGGUUGUAUUAGUGGAUCUUGAGAAUGGCAUGGGUUCAUUUGGUCUAUAAGAACUGGAUGUCAAAGUUGUAUUGGCUGCUUUUGUUUUCACCAACAGUCUGAAUAUUGAACAGUUGAGAUAUUAUUGGCUUGUGAUGCAAUUUCUUUUUCCCAUUUUGUGUGGGGCAAGAGGAGGAUAUAGGUGUGAUGAGAUUUUCCUUGUGUUAAUGGAUUUAUAUUGGAUUGUUUUGUUGCCAAAGUUCUUCAAAGCUUUCUAACGUUUAAAACCAAAUGUCUGCAUUCUUCUUAUAUAUUUACUGGUGAAUUGUCUGUCUCGUUUUACUGAAAGAAAAUUUUCCCUCUAUGCUUCUGUUUUCAAUUAUUCCCAAGGUACAAAAUUUUCCCUCCAUGCUUCUGUUUUCAAUUAUUCCCAAGGUACAUCCUUUUUUGUUUACUCCUACACUUGUUUGUUUUAAUAUCAGGUUCUUGACUGAAUGGAGUGCUCUGUUCUAUGGGCCAUUAUUUGCAGAUCUUAUUUACUUAACCCAGUCUUAUGUAUGAAUCUUUUCAACAGAACCUUCAUGGUUUUGAGAAGGCUAUCUUAGAUGUUUUAUAUAUUAAGAUGUCUUAUCAUUUGCUUAUCUUGCUAAAGGAUGCAAAUGCACUUGUUCCAAGAGUGCAUCUUGUAUGGAUUUGUGAACCCCAUCUGUAGAUAGAGUUGUCAUAUUAAGAUGUAUUUGGUAGUUGUAGUGGAUAACUUCCAAAGAAAACCCUUUUUUAUCCCAUUAACUUACAGCGGGUUGUUUUAGAGCAAUUGAUUUUUAUGUCUCUCUGGUUCUUUUAUCUCGUUGGGAAGACUUCAUGCUGUUCUCUUUAGUUAAGACUCAACAGUCGGCACUUUUUCGAGUAAAACCAUUUGUGAUGCACCUUUUCUUCAUUUAUUGAUUCUUAUCCUGACUUCUUAGACCUUCCAUACUCAUUCUCUGUAUUGCUGGUGGUUUCCUUCAAUUGGCUUGAGUUGGAUUACCUUGGAAAUUAAAAAAUCAGAGGGGCUCCAUUCCAUUUAUACUUUCAUAAAUAUGUUAUUGUAGGCUAUACUUUCUGGGGAGCCAACCAUUGUAGAGGGAUCUGCAGCUUUGCUGAAGGCUGUUGUUACCAGGAAUCCUAAAGCAAUGAUUAGAUUAUACAGCACCGGAGCGUUCUACUUUGCGCUGGCAUACCCUGGAUCAAAUCUCCUUUCAAUUGCAGAGCUCUUCUCAGUAACACAUGUGCAUCAAGCUUUUCAUGGUGGUGAAGAUGCUGCAGUGUCCUCUUCUUUGCCUUUGGCAAAACGCAGUGUUUUAGGUGGGCUUUUACCUGAGUCCUUGCUGUAUGUACUGGAACGAAGUGGUCCAGCUGCAUUUGCCGCAGCCAUGGUUUCUGAUUCUGACACUCCUGAGAUCAUAUGGACACACAAGAUGCGAGCUGAAAAUCUCAUUCGCCAGGUGCUUUUACUCUUCAUUGGCUAUGGUUUCCUACUUUUAGGAUAAUUUUUUUAUGAAUUUUCCCUGCGUGAGUUGUUUUACUCUGUGAGGACAUGGUUCAAUAAGCUUAAUCCAUCUUCUACUUAUCUCGUUUAGGUACUGCAGCAUCUUGGAGACUUCCCUCAGAAGUUGUCCCAGCAUUGCCAUUCUUUAUAUGAUUAUGCUCCUAUGCCUCCAGUUACAUAUCCGGAGCUGAAAGAUGAAAUGUGGUGUCAUCGAUAUUACCUUCGAAACUUGUGUGAUGAGAUCAGGUUUCCAAAUUGGCCCAUUGUUGAACACGUUGAGUUUUUGCAGUCUUUGUUGGUAAUGUGGCGAGAAGAGUUGACAAGGAGACCAAUGGAUCUUUCUGAAGAAGAAGCUUGCAAAAUAUUAGAGAUUUCUUUGGAGGAUGUCUCUAGAGAUGACGCCCCUAGAAAACAAAGUUUGGAGACAGCUGAUGAGAUUCCCAACUUAUCAAAGCAGAUUGAAAACAUAGAUGAAGAAAAGCUCAAGCGACAGUAUAGGAAACUGGCAAUGAAAUAUCAUCCAGACAAAAAUCCUGAAGGGCGAGAGAAGUUUCUUGCCGUGCAGAAAGCCUAUGAACGGCUGCAGGUAAAUUGCCUUGUUAUUUGUCUGCUUUGACUAGUGAAGUUUAAUAUUGUUUUCCCACCUCCAAUUUAAAGCCCAUAAAUCUUCCGGAAGAGUCAAAGCUGGAUUAUCCUACAUGUUGAAUUGUUAACCAAUGUUUGCAAGGUGUUGAUUUUGUGCUCAUUUGGUAUUCCUACCCUUCAUCCAAGAAUUAAUAGUUUUUCUUUUUAAAAAGAAUUCAAAAGGUUACAAAGACAUAAGAAACAUUAAUGCAUAUAUACGAGGUUUAAGGUGCCAAUACAUGGGGUGUAGUAUAUAAAACUGUCCAGCAUUUUAUUCAGUUAAGAGUUUUUAAGAAUUCAAAUUCCUCAAUUAUUGGAAACCUAUAUUGAGUUGUGCAUGUAAAACUUAUAAAAUGUAAACAAAUAUGAGAAAUGAUCUAAUGAGGGGAAAUAUUUAAUAGUUUUGUCAUGUGUCACAGAAUUUCAAAUCGUCUUUAAGAGCAUCUUGACUUUAUCACUUAGAUCCUCUGUCAAUUUUUAAUGCUGGUACUAAAUUUGAAUUUAAUGUUAUUUUAUCAUGCAUUCCUCAAGCUUGAAAGCUGAAUCAAUCUUAAUUUUCGAAGUCAUUGGUGUAGUAUUUUGUCAUUAUGUGCCUCUGCACUUGUACCCUAACUUACGAGUUUGUGUAUUUGGGGUGUGGUGUGUGGUGUAUAUGUUAAUCUCGUUGUACUCUUGCAUCACUGUACGAGAUGAACUGGAAAGAAUAGCAUUAUUUUGCAAUUAGUGUUACUGUGUGCUAAGUGUACGCUCUUUUUUUUUUUUGGUAAUAGAUCUUGAUUUCUUAUUGGUUUAACCCAUUCUGAUUGUGAUUAGAAAGUUGAGUAUUCUAGAGCUGAUUGUGUAUGCUCAAUGAAGCGCAUAGUUUUGACUACAUGACGUGUCUUUGAAGCUCUGGACAUCUAUAUUUUCAGGAUCAUCACAACCUAUGAACUCUACUUUAGUUCAUUUGGGAAUAUUAUGAGUAUUACAAGCUUGCUCUAUUUUCUUCUUCUUUAAACUGACUGGGUUGCUAACAAUGCUCUUAGGCCACAAUGCAAGGGCUGCAAGGUCCUCAAACAUGGAGAUUGCUGCUAUUACUGAAGGGACAGUGCAUCCUAUAUCGACGCUAUGGUGAUGUGCUGGAGCCAUUUAAAUAUGCUGGAUACCCCAUGUUGUUAAAUGCAGUGACAGUGGACCAGGGUGAUAGCAAUUUUCUUUCCUCUGAUAGAGCCCCUCUCCUUGUUGCAGCGUCUGAGCUUGUUUGGCUUACGUAAGUGCUCAAUGCUACCGAUACUACAUUUUCUAGAACCCCUACCAAAUUUGAGAAAAUAAUUGGAUAAGCUCAUCUGAUUUUCGUGUUUGACUCUUGUUCAGGUGUGCAUCUUCAUCACUGAAUGGUGAGGAGCUUGUGAGGGAUGGUGGAGUACAACUCAUUGCAACUCUUCUUUCCCGUUGCAUGUGUGUGGUUCAACCAACCACUACUGCAAGUGAACCCUCUACUGUUAUUGUUACUAAUGUUAUGCGGACUUUUUCCAUUCUGAGUCAAUUCGAGAGUGCUAGAGUUGAGAUACUUGGAAUUUCUGGACUAGUUGAGGAUAUUGUCCAUUGUACAGAACUUGAGCUUGUAUCUCCUGCUGUUGAUGCUGCCCUUCAGACCAUUGCACAUCUUUGUGUGUCAUCUGUAUUGCAAGAUGCCUUAUUGAGGGCUGGAGUGCUAUGGUAUGUCUGGUCAUUUAAUUCUGUUCUGAGAUAUAUUUUUAAAACAUGCAGUGUGUAAUUUUUUGAUAGGUUUCUUUUUUCAUAUGUAUUGAGAUUUUCUUCAUUCUUGUUCUUAUUCUCUUUUCUAUCUCUUUUCUGGAUGUUCAUUCCUCUGACUCCCGGUGUUAUUUACUGAACUUCCUUUCCCUUCUUCAACUCUAGAUCUUCUGAGUUCAACUUGACUGAUCACAUUGCUUUUGACAGCCUUAGGAUACUGUGGGAUAGUUUUCAAAGUUUAACUUUGGGUAGUCAGUCUUGGUUGGCAUAGCUCAGGGUGGGAAUCAGGUUUAUGCCCUGAAAGUGCUGUAAGUCGUUAGUAAUUUUUUGAUGCCACAACAUUUGGUAAGCAUGAUAUGUUACAAUUCCAUUUGCUUUAGGUACCUGUUGCCUUUAUUACUUCAAUACGAUUCAACUGCUGAGGAGUCGGAUAAGGCGGAAACUCAUGGUGUUGGUGGAAGUGUUCAAAUAGCAAAAAAUAUCCAUGCUGUACGAGCGGCUCAGGCCUUGUCAAGGCUUAGUGGUCAGGCUAUGGAUGAUAAUGGAACACCUUAUAAUCAGGCUGCAUCCAAUGCUGUCAAAGCCUUGCUAACCCCUAAACUUGCAAGCAUGCUGAAGGAUCAAUUAGCAAAGGAGUUGUUGUCAAAAUUAAACUCAAAUUUGGAAUCCCCAGAGGUAGAUGUUGCAGAAAUUUUUUUUUUUAAACUGAGGUGUCAGACUUUAUAUGAUUAACAUCAGAUUUUUUGUUAAAAUUGUCUUCCCAUGUGUUUUUGUUUUAAAUUAGCAUUCUUUAUUUACAAGGAUAUAGUCUGACUAGUGUUUUUGGUGGUUUUAUUUUUUUUUCUUGUUGAAAGACCUUUUUAGCAGUUUUGGUUGUUUACUUAAGGUUGCUUUUGUAUAUAUAUCCUAUUUAUGAUGUGCAUACUUUUGUCCUUUUCAUUAUAAUUGGGCUUCUGCAUGUGCUUUAGUUGAUAAUACUAUUUCACUCAUAAAUGCUAUGGUCUGAGUUGCAAUUAAGAAUUAAAAAGGUGGUUUUUGGUGUCAAUUCCAAUUUCCACUAAUUGGUGACCUGAUUGGGGAUUUAUCUUAUCAACUUGUCUUCUUUCUGAUCGUGUGACCAGCCUAUCAAUGUUUAAUGACUAUUAGCCAAAUUGAAAUGAUGCUUAAUAUCAUUAAGGAUGUAAUGCAUGUGAAUUUGUUUUUCUUUUUUUAGCGAUGCAUGUGAAAUCUUGAUAUCAGUAGUAUGUUAGAAUGCUUUAAAUUGCUUCAGUAGUCAGGUUUAAUUGACUUUUCAGGAUUGAGUUGUGAUAUCUCUAGAAGUUUGUUGUGUGUUGAUACUAUUAAUUGCUUUCUGUUGCAGAUAAUUUGGAACUCCUCAACCCGCACAGAACUAUUAAAGUUUGUAGACCAACAGCUAGAAAGCCAGGGUCCUGAUGGUUCAUAUGAUCUGAAGGAUUCUCAUUCCUUCAUGUAUGAAGCCUUAUCAAAAGAACUUUUUGUUGGCAAUGUAUACCUGAGAGUCUAUAAUGAUCAACCAGACUUUGAAAUCAGCGAACCGGAGAAUUUCUGCAUUGCUCUUGUUGACUUCAUUUCCCAUUUACUGCAUGAUCGAUCAAACACUGGUUCAGAUUUUCAUGUUAGUGGCUCAUCUAUUGAGAGAUCUGAGCUUCAACAUGAUUCUAUCAAUGGAUCAUUCACUGAGCAGUGCUCUUCGGAUGAUUCAUCAGCACACCCUGAUGGAAAUUUGGUUAGCAAGGAGGAAGAAUUGAUGAAGAACCUUCAAUUUGGUCUGACCUCUCUUCAGGUAUCGACUUGGAUUUUCUUUGGUGCUUGGGUUGUGUGUAUUGACUUAGUAUUCUAAUCCCUUCUUGCUUAUUAUUGCAGCACUUGCUGACGAGCAAUCCAAAUUUGGCGUCGGUGUUUUCUUCCAAAGAGAAGUUGUUUCCUCUUUUUGAAUGCUUUUCUGGUCCUGUUGCUUCUGCCUGCAACAUUCCUCAACUUUGUUUAAGUGUACUCUCCCGCCUGACUACACAUGCUCCCUGCUUGGAAGCGAUGGUUGCAGAUGGUUCUAGUCUUCUCCUCCUCUUACAAAUGCUUCACUCAUCCCCUAGCUGCCGUGAAGGAGCUCUUCAUGUUCUUUAUGCUUUGGCAAGCACUCCAGAGCUCGCAUGGGCAGCUGCAAAGCAUGGAGGAGUUGUCUACAUUCUUGAACUUCUCUUGCCUUUACAAGGUAAAGAUUUUUAUUUGACUAUCUUCUGUUUGUCUUUGAAAUGAAACAAAUGAAUUUCAUGGAAUUGGAAUGUGCAGAAGAAAUUCCUAUGCAGCAAAGAGCAGCAGCUGCUUCACUGUUGGGGAAGCUUGUUGGGCAGCCAAUGCAUGGUCCCAGAGUGGCUAUAACACUUGCUCGAUUUUUACCAGAUGGGUUGGUAUCCAUUAUCAGGGAUGGCCCUGGUGAAGCAGUUGUGAGUGCUCUUGAUCAAACAACAGAGACUCCAGAACUUGUAUGGACUCCAGCAAUGGCUGCUUCUUUGUCAGCUCAACUAGCAACCAUGGCAUCAGAUCUAUAUCGGGAACAGAUGAAAGGACGUGUUGUUGAUUGGGAUGUGCCUGAGCCAGCUUCUAGCCAACAGGAGAUGAGAGAUGAACCUCAGGUAUAACUUUGUACAUCCUAUAUAGUAAAUUAUUGUGUUAAAUAAAUGGAUAGUAUGUGAUUUUACCUUUUCUUCUGUAGGUUGGAGGGAUCUAUGUCAGGUUAUUCUUGAAAGAUCCAAAGUUUCCUCUUAGAAACCCCAAGAGAUUUUUGGAAGGGCUAUUGGAUCAGUAUCUUUCAUCCAUUGGUGCUACACAUUAUGAUGACUGUGCUGUUGAUCCUGAACUCCCUCUGCUUCUGUCUGCUGCAUUAGUCUCUUUGUUACGGGUACACCCUGCUCUUGCGGAUCACGUUGGGUAUCUUGGAUAUGUUCCCAAACUUGUUUCUGCAGUGGCCUACGAAGGAAGAAGGGAAACAAUGGCUUCCCCAGAGAACAGAAAUGACAACUACUCAGGGGAGAGAAGUGAAGCUGAGGAUAGUUCAAUGCAGCCAACUUCACCAACACCUAAAGAACGCGUUCGUCUUAGUUGUUUACGAGUUUUACAUCAGCUUGCAGCAAGUACUAUAUGCGCCGAAGCUAUGGCAGCAACCAGUGUAGGAACACCCCAGGUAUUCCUUUAUUAUGGGCUGGAUUUAGUUUGGUUUAUAUGGGGCACAAAAAUAUCCUUUUCAAGUAAAUCUUUCAGGGUUGGAUUUUACUAGUCUUGAGUGGUUUAAUCUUGAUAACUUGCUUCCAGGUUGUUCCACUUCUGAUGAAAGCUAUCGGAUGGCAAGGUGGAAGCAUAUUGGCUCUGGAAACACUCAAACGUGUUGUGGUUGCUGGAAAUCGAGCAAGAGAUGCAUUGGUUGCACAGGGUCUUAAGUAAGUCCAAAAUUUGAUGUUUUAUAACUAGGUUUUGUCUUUUCCUCAUCAAUAGUAUUUCUAUCUCAUCAUCAAUUGUGAUAUACUCUGUGUAAUUUUGCAGGGUUGGUCUUGUUGAGGUACUGCUAGGUCUUCUUGAUUGGAGGGCUGGGGGAAGAAAUGGUCUUUGUUCCCAGAUGAAGUGGAAUGAAUCAGAAGCAUCCAUUGGAAGAGUGCUUGCUAUUGAGGUGAGAUGAUUUUGUAGAUUAUGUGCAGAAUCUGCAUGCUUUUAGGCCAUUUUGCAACUCAACUAUGCACAUAUUCUGCAAAGCGUCCAAUUUUCUUUUCUGGCUAGUUUUAGGGUUCAUGUAAAUGUCUUUUCCUACUUUCUGAAGCUUUAGUAUCUGUCACAAUUAUCCUGAUUUGGAUUGUGUUCUGUAGAACUUUUAGCAAAAUAAAUAUUGCAGUGUUUAUUGGGAUGUGACGUAGAUGAAGUAAAGAAGUGGUUCAAAAGAUAAAACGGUAAUUGGAAAGCAUGUUUAAGGAAUAUUUGGAAAAAAUAAUUCCAAAAAAAAAAGUUUGCAAUCCAAAAUGCUAGCAAUUAGAGAUAAUUUUUGUUCUGUGCUAUGAGACGAGUUGUUAUUAUCUCAGUCAAGUUGGGCCCUAACCUGUUUCAAAAGUUUUUGAAUCUUCAUGCAUUGAGAUUUAAAACAUCCUAGAUUCGGAGUAAUGAAUUUUUGGGAAUAAAGAACUCCAUUUCUUUUCCUUAAUCUACUUUCUACCUAAUUAAAAUAAGGGAGGGAUUACUCCCUGGCCGUUUACAAUUUUUCGUUACUUACUGCUCACUUUGUGUAUGAAUUUUCAUUGAUAUUUGUUAAACACUAGAAUUUCGAAUUUCCAUAAACCGGGCUUUGAUAAAUUUCAUUUUUUGGUAGUUUUUUAAGGGCUGUUAAAUCACAUGAAAUAUGUAGAAGGCUCGGCUCAUCUGGAGAUUAUAUUUUUGAGUGAUGAUAUAUUGUUUUUCAAAUGUUUGGAGUACAUUUUAUCUAUAUCCUGGAUGAGAAAUCUAUCAUUUCUUGUGGAGGUUUGUGCCUUCUUAACAUUAUGCCCACUUUAUUUCUAGGUUCUGCAUGCCUUUGCAGCGGAAGGUGCCCACUGUACGAAAGUCCGGGAGAUACUUAAUGCCUCCAAUGUGAGUCUAGACUCCAAUUGCUUUCGUGCCAAUUAUUUUUCACAUGUCCUCUCCUAUAAGUUACUGCAUGUAUAGAGGUUUUUAACGUUUGAAUGCAAGCCUCCAUCUUUUUCUUUAUAUUUCUUGUAGUUUCCAAAUAAAUAUAGUCAUAGACCUGGAAUCCUCAAUAUGGAUCUGCCACUUGUCUGGCAAUUUCAGCAGUCUGGCACAGAAGCUAGCCUGCUUCUAUCUAAGGAUUUUGGAAAUCAACUUACAUGUUAUUGUCUUAGACUUUGGUCCUUACGAAUAAAUCUUUGCAGGUUUGGGAUGCUUAUAAGGACCAAAGGCAUGAUCUUUUCCUCCCAUCAAAUGCCCAAUCUGCAGCUGCUGGAGUUGCUGGAUUAAUAGAAAAUUCCUCAUCUCGGCUUACUUAUGCACUCACAGCACCCCCAUCACAACCUAGUCAAGUUAAACAGCCUGCUGCUAUUGUAGCUGAUUCCAACGGGACAGAGGAUCACAUUUCAUAGGUUCGAAGGGAAGAGCGUACUUAAAUGGCUCGAAAGACCGCCAGUUGGAAACAGGACGAUUGCACAAAAGAGAGUUUGAUCUGGCUAUUGAGUUCCUAAUUCUACCCUCAUUUGUAUAGAAUAUUGUACAUUCUGCUGUUGUUCCUUUCUUUCUCCUAGUGUCAUGCGGGCUUCUACUGCAGGUGCAUCCAAAAGAAAUUAUAAAGGCAAAAUAGCAGGUACAUGUUUUCAUGAUGUAAAGGCUGCUGCUCAUUUUUAUUCUCUUUGUAAAGAAUUCUAGAUUGCUACCAUCCAGAGAGAGGGAGGUGAUUUUUGCUAGUAUCCUUCUUUCCAACCGGUUGUACCACUUUUUAGUUUGAGAAAAGAUAAGGUGAUGUCGGUCAUUAUUGUUUUGUUCAGUUCAUUGUAAAUUAUUACUGAGUUCCUUGGUAGUAAAGAUCCCUCCUCUUCUCGCAAGAAACGAGACUGGGGAAGAGAAUGUAUUAUAUGCUUUUUGUCUGCAAUUUAUUGACGUUAUCUGGAGAGAGAGAGAGAAUCAAAGACGGUUUGGAGUAAGUGAUUAUUUGGGAAAAAAAUUGUAAUAAUAUUGUAACACUUUUUUGACUUGAUAUAUAAUAUUUAUGAUGAAAAGAGGGGAUAGUUUAAGAAACCUCUUUUUAGGUUUGUGACAAUUUCACUGUCAUCUUCUGAGAAUUUGAAAAUAAUGCUAACUUCACUUGAAGUCAAUAUCAUCAACCUCCCUUGAAACCUAUAUCUUUGUAACAAUUUACCCUAAUUCAAAAAAAAGUCACAAUAAAAAUUGAUUUUAGGUGUGAGAAGAUCAUUGAUUCCAAAAGUUCUUCUAAUCUAUAAUAAUAGUUAAUUUAAUUAUUCACUUAUGGGGUUGUUAUUAUGCAUGUUUAACAAAAAAUUUUCAUUAUUUGCAGUGAAAAAAUAACAACUUUUGAAAUUUAACAAAACAAAAGUUUUUCUUACCUUAAUGUUCUUGUUAUCACCAUGGUAAUAAGCAGAUACAAAUGGAAAUUUAUUCACGUCUAAUUCUUUUUAAUUGUCAAGUACAUAUAUAUAUAUAUAUAUAUAUAUAUAUAAAGCUAGCCUAGUAUUAGAAUCCUUUUCUAAUACCAAAUUAAUUUUUUUAACAUAAUCAAAUUACAAGUAAUUUAGUUUGUAAACAGGUCAAUUAUUUUUCAUGUUUAAAUUUUUUUUAGUUAUCAGGUACAUCAUGUGUAAUUUCUUUUAUCUGUCAAGUACAUCAAUAAAAAAUUGUUUCCUGUUUUAUAUAUCAAAUUAGUUAUUUUUUAAGUUCCAAAUUAUGGUUAAUUUAAUUAGAACAGGUUUUUUAUUGUUUCUCUUUACAAAUAUGUGUAAAAUGUCCUAAAUUGUAAGGAUAGUAGAGUCAUUUCACCAUUAAUAAUGUAAGCAUUAGGUUACAAAUUGCUGACUAGGAAGAAGUAAUAUUUUCAAAACUUUGGAAGAGGGUGGUGAAAUGAUUAGAAAUUUUAGGAGAGAUUUCUGAAAUUAUCCCUAAAAAGAUAGUUCAAAAUUUUAUAAAAAAAAAGUAGUUAAAAAUGUGUUUUUUGUGCAAGUAGAAAAUUUGAUUAAAAAAAUGGAACAUCCAAACAAGCCCAAAAAUGGUUGAAAACUGCAGAUGAAAAAGUGGAAAGAAAACUAUUGAAGGGAUACGAGAUCAAGGUUUAGCAACUUGUGCCUUGAAGUGAUACAUAUAAGUAAACAUGGCCUAAAGAAGUUACCGUUGGUGUAAUUGAUAUGCAAGCACACAAAAGUGUAGAAAUUUUGUAUUACACAAAUUUCACUAAGAAAGUAGGGGUGAAAAUGUGGUUGAAACCAUUUGUUUAAAAUUACUGACAAUGGAAACGCUACCUUUACUCUAACACUACCACUAGAUGAAUAGGUUCAAGGGAUAACUCCAAAUUGUUAAGCAGUUGUGAACACUAGAACUUUCUACAUAAAGCUACCUUACUAGUGCAAAAGAAUGGAAGUCAAAUGUAUGAUAAGUUAUAUUUUUAAUGAAAUGUAAUUGCUCUCUAAGUGCUUUGUUAUAUAAAAUUUGAUAUAAUGUUUUCACCUAUAUGAUCAUAGAAGUGGUGCCACUUCUAGCAAAAGUUUUAUUUACUUUUAUCAAUGAUCAUGAAACUAAGAUGGAGCACAUGACGAGUAAUAGUGCUAAAUUUCUUUGUGAAUAGAUCAAUAAGUUUGAUACUAUGUGUGUGGUAUUUCUUGGUUAAUUUGCAAAUCAUGAUUUAAUCAUAUAAGCAGUCUUGAUUUGGUUUAGUUCUAGUGAUGUGUCAACACUAAAGGAACAAUUUAAAUCAAACGAUACUUUUCUUUAUAAAUAAUAUUGUAUGUGUUAGUUUGUUAUUUCAUUUACAAACUAAGUGGAGGAUUGUGAGUGUAGUUUGCAAAUGAGAUGUGGGACUAAGGAUCUGCGAAUGGAUCCAUGUGCGGAUCCCUAACUAAAAGAACAAUUUAAAUCAAACGAUACUUUUCUGUAUGCAUAAUAUUGUAUGUGUUAGCUUAUUAUUUCAUUUACUAACCAAGUGGAGAAUUGUGAUAGUAUUUAAUCACGCCUUAAAAAUUGUCUAUUCUCCCAUUUUAUUUGCAAGUUUUGUUUAGGAAUUUGUGCCAUUUUUUAGCGUGCGUCUCUUCUUCGUUUGUACUACACACAUCAACAGUUACUGUAGUGUGAUGGUGUACUGACUCUUUUUUUUUUUUUUUUUCCAAAACGAUAACAACUUUCAUUACUUGUUCAAAGACUACAAAGGUUGAGCAACUGCUCGUACAUCUGUCUUGGCUAAGUUUACUAGCCAAACUGGGAAAGACCCUUCCCACUCUAUAUCGCUUGUCAAUUGCAUGACAAACUUUGCCAACUGAUGACUUACACAAUUCCCUUCCCUUUUGACAAAGGAAAAGUAGCAGCUGUCAAACUGCUUCCCCAACCUGAGGACAUCUCCUACUAUUGCACCCACCUGCGGGUCCUUCCUGCACCCCAUUCUUAUACUCUCCACCACGCUCUUGCAAUCAGAUUGGACCUCAACCUUCCUCCAUCCCAUCCUUUCGGCUUUGAUAAGUGCUGUUCGAAUGGUAGCAGCUUCCUCCACCACAGCUUCAGUGUGCCUCUCACCACUACCAGCCCAAGCUUUCAAUAUCCCUCCGUCUAUUUGUCUUGCCACCACUCCCCACCCCACUAUCCCCUUUGCUGUACUUAGAGCUACAUCUACAUUCAUCUUAACGACCCCCUCUGCUGGAGGCACCCACUCUGAUGGGAUUUUCUGCUUAGCCCCUUCCUCCAACACCUUCCCCCUAUCUGUGCACUGAGCUGCCCUGUACUCAUUCCACUCCUGGACUGCCUUCAUCCCUACCAUUCCAGGACACCCUUCCUCCCUAUUAAACUGGAUUCUAUUCCUAGAUUUCCAGAUCUGUCAGAGUAAGUUUGCGGUGAGGCAAAUGUGUUCCUUCCCCUCAGUCCUUGCCUGCGCCUCCAUUACACUAUUCCACCAUAACCAAAAGCUCUUCCUAAACUCCAGUAGGCCAUCCCACUGAAUUGGUGAAGCUUUCCAGAUCAACUCUGCAUGUUUACAGAAGAAGAGCAUAUGUUCCAGAGUCUCAGGUUGCUCCCCACAGCAGGCGCACAACUCAGAUCCUCUUCCCACCUUUUUUUUUAUCACUUCAUUUAUUGGCAGUAUAUUUUGCAGUCCCUUCCAUAUAAAAUGCUUAAGUUUAUGCUUCAUAUUAAGGCCCCAUAGGAACCUCCACACCUCAGUACCUUGUUCAUUUCUAUUGCUUUUCUCCUGCUGCACUCCUACUCCUGUCUUCUCUUGUUGCAACUUCUUAGCCACCAUAUAUCCAGACUUAACCGAGUACUCCCCAUUCUUGUUGUAAGGCCAGAUAAGUUUAUCCUUCCCUCCAUAUAAACUCAAGGGUGUAGCCAGGAUUCUUUUACAAUCUGCUUCAUUAAAAAUUCCUUUCACUAGUGUUUGGUUCCAUUCCCCAUUCUGUACUAGCUCCUGCACCACAUGUGCUCGACACCCUGGGGGUCUUAUAGUGGUUACCCUUCCCUGCCCCUUAUCUGAAAGCCACCUAUCCUUCCAUAUAUUAACAGUACUACCAUCCCCUAUGCGUUUCCUAGCCCCCCUUUCCAACACCUCCCUAGCACUAACCACACUCCUCCACAUCCAGGAGUCAGAGUUUCGAGUCCUCAUCGUCCAUAUUGACUCUCCCUUGAAAUACCUUCCUCUUAGUACCUUACUUACCAUCAAAUUUGGGUUGGUAAUCACCCUCCACAACUGUUUUGCUAACAUGGCUUUGUUGAAUUCUUGUAAAUCCCUAAACCCCAAACCUCCCCUCCCCUCUACCUGAGUUAACUUCUGCCAUCCCAUCCAGUGUAUUCGCUUCUCAUCUUCCUUGCUCCCCCACUAGAAUCUGGCCAUAUCCCUACUAAUGUCUUUACAUAGCCCAAUAGGUAACCUGCAACAGUUCAUAGCGUAGUUUGGCAUUGCCAUGGCCACUGCCUUCGACAGCACCUCUUUACCAGCUUGGCUUAGCAACUUCUCCUUCCAUCCCUUGAUCCUAUUAUUUACCUUGUCCCUUAUGUAGUUGAACACCUGUACCUUAGACCUUCCAAUUAAGAUAGGGAGUCCCAAAUAUCUGCUAUGCCGUACAUGCUUCAUUCCCCCCAACUCAUGCAAGAUCCCUUCAAUACUACUCAUCUCAGUAUUCUUACUGAACAGCACAGAGGAUUUCUCCAUAUUGAUACACUGUCCAGAUGCUCUACCAUUUGUCUUCAACAACUGUCUCACUCUACCUGCUUCCUCUAUUAUUGCUCUACAAAAAAUUAAAGUAUCAUCUGCAAACAAAAGGUGUGAGAGAGCAAGGCUAGCAGCAGCAAUUUUCAAUCCUGAAAUCCUAUGUUCCCUCAUGGCUAUAUUAAGCAAUCUAGAAAGCCCCUCAGAAACCAGCAGGAACAAAAAUGGGGAUAGUGGAUCCCCUUGUCUAAGCCCCCUAGAAGGCCUGACAAAUCCCCUCUUCUCCCCAUUGAUAUUGAAACUAUACGUCACAGAUGAUACACACUUUAGGACCCAGCUAAUCCAGGUAGAGCAGAACCCCAUUCGAGCCAUGAUCUUCUCAAGGAACCCCCACUCUACCCUAUCAUAGGCUUUGGCCAUGUUUAACUUAAUGGCCAUAAACGCAUUUGACCCACCCCUCCUAUUAUUCAAACAGUGAAUGAAUUCGUGUGCAAUCAUAAUAUUAUUAGUAAUAUGCCUUCCUGGGACAAAAGCUGACUGAUUGGCACUAACACAACAGGUCAAGAAAGGUUUCAACCUGUUAACAAGGAUUUUAGAUAUGACUCUAUAAAUCACAUUACACAGGCUUAUAGGCCUAAAUUGAGAGACUGAGGAAGGGGAGUCAGUUUUUGGAAUUAGAGUAAUACUUGUUUCAUUUAUGGCUUUGAGCAGAUUACCAGAAUGGAAAAAACUUGAGAUAGUAGCAAUUAAAUCUAGUUUAACAAUAUUCCAAAAUUUUUGAAAGAAGACUGGACUCAUACCAUCAGGACCCAGAGCUUUGUUUGGGUGUAAGGAGAAGACUGCAUUUUUUACCUCCAUUUCUGUUACUGGCCUGAUCAGUUGUGAGUUCAUUUGGCCAGUAACGACCUGUGGGAUAUUCUGAAUGAUUGGUGCAGAUUCCUCAGGAUUGGAAGAGGUAAAGAGACUGUCAAAGUAUCCAGUAAUUUCCCCCACCACUUCCUCCUCAUUUUCACACCAUUCUCCCCCUUCCUUCUGUAGUGUUGUAAUGGAAUUCCUCUUCCUUCUUCCUGCAACCACUGCAUGAAAAUAGUUGGUGUUCUUAUCCCCUUCUCGCAACCAGUUCACUCUAGCCUUUUGCCCCCAGAAUAACUCCUCUUUCUUAUAUGCCUCAGCUAACCUUCUCUUUAACUCACCUAAUCUAUAUCUCCUGUCUUGGAAAUUACUCUCUCGCAGCUCAUAAAUCUCUUUUUUGAUCUUACCUAUAUCAUUCCUAGCAUUGUUCUUCAAGUUCCUGUUCCAACUCAACAAAGCCAUCCUACACUCCUUUAUUCUAUUCUUUAUCUGAAAAAAUCUUGAACCCCUCUGCUCUUUUUCCCAUGCCCUCCUAACCACCCCAUUUACCUCCUGGUACUGCAGCCAUCUUCUGUCAAAAUAGAACCUCCUUUUCCACUUUCUUUCUUUUGGUUCAGUGUUUAGGAGGAGCAUACAAUGAUCAGAGGCCUCAUUGUGUAUAUGCCAGCAUGUUGCUUUCUCAAACUUUCUCCUCCAUGCCCUGCUACCAAGCAUUCUAUCCAAUCUCUCCCUGAUCUCUCCCUCAUUGUCCCAAUUGUUACUCCAAGUCCACGGCUUACCCUUAUAACCAAUAUCUAUCAGCUCAUUUGUGCUAAUAAAGUCUCUAAACUGUUUGAAGCUCCUCUCAGGUCUUUGUACCCCUCCCCACUUUUCACCAUUGCUUACGAUGUCAUUCAUGUCCCCAGCAAGCAACCAUCUAUUACCCCAUAGGACUUUCCUACUCCCAAUAGUUUGUCACUGUUUGCUCCCUAGUAGCGUCAUCCGUACUGGCAUAUAUGCAAACCAACCACCAGGAGAUCUUCUUGCACAGGUCCUCAAUGCAUAGUUCUAUAGUAAAGUUCGUGUAUAAAACUUUUUUGACCUGAACCUCUUUCUUCCACAUUACAGCCAAUCCCUCAGACCUCCUUACAGGAUCCACUACAAACAAGUUGUCAAACUUAAGUUUCAGCUUUAGUUUAUUCAUAUAGUACUUCUUAUUUUUAGUCUCAGAUAAGAACAAUAUUUCUGGGAAGUGGAGUCUGUUCACCUCCUCCAUUUGGGAAACUGUCAAGGGUCUUCCCGCACCUCGACAAUUCCACACCAAAACCCUCAUGGACACUGUGGGGCCCCAUUCAGGUCGGGCUCCCCCACCUUCUCCAUCUCACUCCUCUUAUACUCCAAUACCAAUUUACUAUAUUUCUUGUAUCCACCAUUAUCCUUGUCAUUGCAAGCCUCCACACUUUUCCUUUUCCCAUUAUCCACUUCCAUUUCUGUGAUCCCAUUGCUCUCAGUGAAUGGCUUUGGUUUCCCUACCUCCUGUACCAGUCUUUUCCACGUCUUGUUCCCUUUAUAUUUGCCAACUGUAUUUUCCUUCCCGCUACUAACCCCCGUAGUAGUCCCCUCAACCCCUGUGCUAGCCCCUUUAUGUGAUUCCUCCCCUUUCAGUCAGCCAUCAAUCCACAUUAUAUCCUGCUCCUCACUAUUAUCCACCUGUGUCAUUGCUAUUUUAGCCUGGCCCCUACCUCCCCUAUUCCUUCCUUUCUCCCCCUCCUGUUUCACAUUCCCCUGUAUAGUCCCAACAUGAUCUGGCUGCUGUUCUGAACUACCCUGAGUACCCCUAUUCUGUAUUAUUGCUACUCUAUACUGGCCUCUACCUACCUUAUUCCUUCCCUUCUCCCUCUCCUGUGUCACAUUCCCUUCUAUAUUCCGAGCACUAUCUAUACUGAUCCCCCCUUCGUCCUUUCUUUCUAUCUGUACUAACCCAUUAUCCCCAGAUGUAUCCUCUGAUCCAGCCAUGAAAUCACCCAGCUUCUCUAUCCCCCCCGACAUAUAGUCAUCCCCCAUGGACCCCCACGUCAACAAGUACUGUCCCUUUCCCCUACUCAUAGAUUGAUCAGUCCUAUCCUCCUCCCUCAUUCUGGAUGCCUAGUCUGCUGUCGUUUGCCUCUUAUGGGGGCUCUUCGGUCCACUGGCCUUGAGCCAUACUCCAUACUGAGACUCCUUAUGCAGGUACAAGCCUUUAUCCUUACAAUUCCUCUCAUUAUGCCCCAUACGCCCACAACAGUAACAAAAGUCAGGGCACUUCUCAUAUUUGAAAUCUAUCCAUCUCCCCACUCCAUUCAUUUUUACUGUUGUUCCCCUUAGUAAAGGCUGAGUCAAAUCAAUUUCUACCAGAACCUUUAGAUGUUUACCUUCUCUUCCCCCCCCCACUCGGAACUAUAACUUCCUUGACAGCUCCACAUACCUUUCCUAUUUUCUUUCCCGCUUCCUUAGAUAUCCAGUGCAUAGGUAAAUUCCAGAUCUGCAUCCAUAUCCAAGUUUUGGUAAAUACUUCCUCCUUUGUUUCAACUCCUUCCCUCCAUGGUACUAUUAUUAGAGGUUGAUUAUCAUAUACCCAUGGUCUCCCCCCCAAUACCUUCUCUUUGUCAUGUAAAGAGUCAAAUAUAAACUGGAACUUAUUAAUUCCAAUCUCCAUCACCCUCAAAUUUUUCGCAAAAAUCCACAUGUUAUUAGCAAAGCUCCUAAUCCCAGCUAUAUGAGCCACCUUGUCCCCAAACACCUUCCCAAUAAUACUUCUCUUACACUCUUCCGUACUCUGACUGACAUCCUCACUAUCUAUCUGUAUUCCACCCGCCUCCUUCUCAGACAGCACAAACUUCCUUAGCACCUCUUCCAAAUCCUCAGCUAUUUGCCCCAAUCUCAGUUUCCCACAAAGUCGCUAUUACCUCCUGAAACAAGCCUGCACAACAGAAAUGACUAGACAGAACCAGAUCUACUUGAUGAGAAACAAAGCGAUCAAGCAAGCCUCAGCCGAAAAAGAUCAAGAGAGAAACAAUGAGCUAAGACUUAAUCAAAACCAAAUCGAAUAGAAUACAACCAAGCGAAAACGCAAACUGACCAAUCUAAGCAGUAAAGCAAAAACGCAAAUAAACACAGAACAGAAUAAGGUCGAAGAGCAUCAGCUGCGCAAAAGUUCACCAAAAAAAAAAAAACACGGCAAACUACAGCACAAGGUAAUGGAGCUCAACCUGCAACUACAGCAACACGGCAAACUCAGUCACAAGGUAAUGAAAGACACUUACGCAGCUGGUCUAGACCAAGCUCAGAUGAGUUUGAAGAGCCCUCCGAACUUAAAAAAACUCAGUCCUAAUCAAUCUGGAGACAUUACUAUUUAUCGGAAAGCAAGGCCUAUUUAGGUAUAUGAUUAUGAUCGGCACACAUUUUCACUCAAAGUUUGAAUCAGUCGAGGAAGAUCGCUAAUGUGUAGGAGAUAUUAGGUUUUUUGAGGUUUGGGAAAUUUUGAACUUUCACGCGGGAAGAGAGAGCUCUCAGGUUAGAGAGAGAAAGUUGCUCUCACUAAAGGAGAGACGUAACUCCUGUGAUGGUGUACUGACUUGUUAUUCAAAAAUGUCUUUUAGAAAUGGGGAAUGGGUUUUUUUUUUUUUUGCCUGGGUUUUGGGGUGUUUUUGUUGUUUUAGGGGGAAGUGAGACUUAAUCGAAUUUGAAGAGAAAUAGAGAACAAGGCCGUUGAUCGCUUCCAUGUAUAUGACCACACGCCUACCAGACUACUAGUCAAGACAUUUUAGUCACUUUGACUGGAUCCAUUUUGGUAUUUAAUACGAUUCCUGUUUCUCUCUUCUUCUUUUUUUUCCCUGUGGAUGACAAUAGAUAGAGUGCGUAGCAAUUUUAGAUUAAUUAUUGGGUAUUCUCUAUCGAUUAUUUAAACUCGUCAAAUCUUUAAUGAAACAUAGAUUAAAGUCAUGAUUUAACAAUACUAUCACAUACAAUAUUGACGAAAAAAAUAUGAAUCCAGUCAAUUUGAUUCCACAAUCAGCUGCUAAACAGAUCAAAGUUUCCGGUGUGUAGUUAAUAAUAAAAACUGAGUCAAAUGCAGCCCACGAAAUAGGAAUAGCUAGGAAAUAUCUAGCAAUCAAUUGCAAAGAAAGGUAAUGAGUUUUAUUAGUGUCAUGUGCUAUCGAACUGAAAGAUUAAAACACGAGAGAAUCUACAUAUAUAAAUAAAUAAAAAUUAACUUUUUAUAAUACUGAUAGUAUAGUAAUUUUUUUACACUAAUAGUUAUGAAUAUAUGUCAUGUAUGAAUUAUUUAAAUUUUAAAUUUGAAUAUAUAUAUAUUAUAUAGCAUGAUCUUACUAUUCAUCAUCAUUGAGUUUGUUUGAAUUGUGAAUUAUUAGAGAUAUUUUUACUGUAACACUUUUUGUGAUGUGAUGUAUGUAAGAUAAAAAGAUAAUUGGGAAGAUAAAAAUGUGUGUUGGAAAUUGUAACGAUGAUGUAAGCAAAUAUAUUUUGGCAAAUAAACCGCAAUCCAAACAAACCCGUCGAAAGAUCUUAUAGAUCUUAAUUUGAAACAUCUGUUAACAAAUUUGAGGAUGGGGAAUGAAGAUUCAAACUUGAGACUUUCCCGUAAAUUUGCAAAAGAUCUUAUAGAUCUUAAUUUGAAACAUCUGUUAACAAAUUUUUACCUUCUUACGGCACUGGCCAAGCAUUACAAAUGUUUAGUUUGACCGGACUGUAAUGUAUUAUUUAUCCUCCGGUAAUUACGGGAUGCCUGAAUAAAUGCUGGAAUGAGGUAAAUUAUGUUCUCGGGAAGUGGGAAUCCUAAUCACAUAAAGUUCAGCAGUUGUGUCUUUUAUUUUUUAUUUUUUUUUUUUUGUGGGGUGUUGGAGAUAAAGAGUUAUGUCUUCUCUUGGAAGGCGGAAUUACAUUUCUCAAAGGUGGUGUAAAUGCAUGAUGUUUCAUCCAUUCCUCUGUUGUGCUUUAAAUGCUGCUUGUUCUCCAUGAAGUUAUGUGAAGUGACCGCCGCUGACGAUCGUAUCACGGGCAGCUCGGAUCAGCACACAACUACUAGAAGAAAUCAUUUGCCCAAUCAACUUCCCGUGAGAACAACAUUUGCACCCCCAGCCACCCCCCCCCACCCCCCACAAAAAAAAAAAAUAUAAGUUUGAACAAGUUUUGAUUUGAUGAAUGUAAUUGAAUCAAUCCAUUUAUAUCCGUCAUAUAAUAAAGGUGUCAAAGUAGACAAGUCAUAAAUGAGUAUGAUCUUGAAUAAUUGUAAAUUAUUCAGUUAUCCAUUUAUAAUUCUAUUUAAAAUUUUUUCUAUGUUUUUUUCUCUACACGUUUGUUUAAUAAGAAAUAACAAAUUACAAUUUAUUAUGUUAGAAAAAACAAAAGGCAUAUCAAGGUCGUAAAUAAGUAAUUUUAUCCAAAAUAAAAGAGAAAAGAAAAAAAUUAAUAAAAAUUGCACAUAACAUAAAAUGGUGAUUACGAUGAGUUACAUGCAAUGCCAUACCAUAGAAGUUGAAAAUAGUUUUAGGUACUAACAAGAGAAGUUAAUUAACACAACAAUUGAAAAAAUUUGCUUGAAUUUGAAACGAGGGAAGAAGAAAGAGAAGGCAAAAAAAAAAAAAUGAUAGAAAAAGAUAACAAUAAAUAUGCUCGACAAACUCUAAAAACAGUUGUCUCAUUGGUGAAAAAUCUAUAUAUAUUUACCCAAUUAAAACCCACUAAUUAUUGAGUUUGAAUUUGAAAUUAUUUUUUUAAAUGGGUCUUAAUGAGUAAUCCCAAAUCUAUCAACUUAAGCCCCACUAAUUAAAUAGAUUUAAUGAGUUACUCAAUUAAAUCCGACCAAGAGCCAAACCUAAUUUCACCCGACGGAGCCGAUCUCACAUAGAUGUGGAUUUACAUGAUGCGCUCACUCUAUGUCGUGCUUGCCUGAUCCAUGAGAGACCUUCUUGAGAACGUUCUAAAUACAAUACAGGGCUGUGGCAUUCUAAACAAAACACAUUAUUAAUUGGACCGAUCGGCCAAUGUCUUUUGAAAAAAGGAUCGAACAUUCCAAAUGAACAUUCUUCUGCUGCAAGUAGAAGUGUACCAAAUCCUCCCUACCUUUCUUUCUCUACUUGGCAAUUGCUUCUUUUUUUUUUUUUUCUCAUUUGAUAGGGUUUUAAACCAUUAAUUCCCCGAGUUUUUCAAACUAUUUGUAUCCAGUAGAAAUCCACACAGCCAGAAUACAUAAAUCUGUGCAAAUGAACACACAGGUUCUUCAAUCAUUGCAGGACGACAUGAUAAUCUUUCUUUCAAAUAGGAGGCCACCCCAUCCUUUUCUCAAUUAAGACAGGGAUGGGAAAACAAUAAAUACCCAACUCAACGAACUCUAUAUUUAGCCCGCGUGCACUAGGAAUUGGUAGGAUUCAUCAAAUCAACAACGAACAAAGUUCUCUACACUCGAGCUAGGCAGGCUCAUCCUAGGUUGUAGACGGGACUAGCUAGCUAUCUAGGGAGUGAAAUGGAGAGGAUGAAAUCGAAGCUUUCCAUGAUUUGCAUUUGCAUUGCCACGUUGGCAAUAGUAGCAGUGGCUACAAUUCAAGAGGAUGAGAAGGAUUGUGCGGACCAGCUUACCAAUCUUGCAGCUUGCAUUCCCUAUGUAAGUGGCGAUGAGAAGAUCCCCACUCCAGAGUGUUGUGAGGACACCAAGAAAGUCAAGAGUGCUAAACCAAAGUGUCUCUGUGUUCUCAUCAAAGAGAGCACCGAUCCCUCCAUGGGUCUCCCCAUUAACACCACUUUGGCUCUUAAAAUGCCUUCUGCUUGCAAGAUUGAUGCAAAAGUCUCCGACUGUCCAUGUAAUCUCUCCAUCAAUUUUCAUCAAAGAAAGAUACACUUCACUCGUUGCUAAAAAUAGCACGUUACGGACAAUUCAGACUAACUUGUUUGAUGCAAAUCAGUAUAAUGUUGUUCGUUGAUGUUUUUGAAACUCUUUUUUUUUUUUUUUUGGCAGCUAUACUGAACUUGGCACCAGAUUCACCUGAUGCAAAGAUUUUUGAAGCAGCGAGUAAGGAUUCGAGCACGAGUUCAUCAACAACAAACUCUCCUCCAGCUUCUGCUUCAACUUCUUCAUCAUCGUCUGGAUCAUCAACAUCUCCAUCUUCUUCAAGCUCAUCAUCGAGUUCAGACACCAAGCCAACCGCAAGCAGCAGCAUUGCUGGAGCGAAGUUGUGCCAAAGCAGCCUUGUUAUUGCGGGAUCCGCAGUAAUUGCGCUGUUGUUACUUUAAGUCCCUUUACCAGCCAUCGAGAGAAUAAUACAUGCAAGCAGAGACAUCAUCUAAGGAAAUAAUGGAGUCUCAAGAGUAUGAUAGUCGGUUAGUUUAGUUCUCCGCUUAUGAAUUUUAGUUUUAGGAUAAUAACAAUAAUAAAAGAUAAGAGGCAGCUGUGCGACCGCAAAGUUUCCUUCAACAUGUUGGAGAAGGUUCUUUAAAUUUCUUCUCCCUUCUUUGUUUUCAUGAACCCGAUGUAAUGGUAGAAUUCUUGAGUGACUCUGCUUCUACUUUCUUAGUUCCUUUCAUUUUUUUUUUUUUAAAAAAAAAACUUUUUUCCACAAUGAUAAAGAUGGAAUUUUACAUAUUCUUUAACAGUAAACCAUGUAGUAAGUACUUCAGCUUCAAAUUCCCAGAAGCAAAAGCACCUGCCUUUAGUAAUGCCUCAGCCUCACGAAGAAUUUUUUUAUUAUUAUUUUAAGAAUUAUAAGAUUCCCAGCAUAUACUAGUCCAUAACUCACAUUUUAUGUAGGAUCUGAUGCAUUUUCAUUUCGUUCAGAUUAGGCAAAGCUAGGCCAGAUGAUCCUACCCAAAAAAUAAUUAUUUUGAUAAUAAUAAACGGUCCGUCUGACGUAUGUUUUACGGGCAUUCGUUAAAAUGUAUUUCAGGUAUUAAAUUUUUAAAAAUAUAAAAUUAAUUAUAAAAAACAUAUAAAUAUAAGGGAAUUAAUUAUAAAAUAAAUAUAAAAAAAUUAUUAUUAUUAAUACGUAUAUAUAUAUAUAUAUAUAUAUAAAUUGAGUAGAAUAUAAGUACAGUCGCCUUGUUACGAAAAGUCAAUAAUAAAAUCUGACAAUCUAACUAUACAUGCUGCCACAUCAUAGAAGUGCAUUGAUCUCGAUGAUAAGACUGGAGAGUGCGCCCAAACGAACGGGCUCCACUUCCCUUGCUUGUCGUCAGAAUUUAUUAGCUUCAAGUCAUCGCUCAUCGAGCGAGAGUGAUAGUCGUACUCCGUGCAGUUUUUCCUUCAAAAAAAAAAGAAAAAAAAAACUGCAUGCAGCUUUUGUUGUCUGUGCGGGAUUUCGAUCCGCCACAUGUCCAAGAAAUAUCACGCCUGUCUCUAAGUGGGAUUUCAAGUUUCAGCCACAAAUAGGUCAAGGAAGCACUUCCAAAUCUUGGAUCAUUUAAUUUCUCUCACGCUACCCAUAGAGGAUGGAUGGAUGGAUGAGCCCGAAAUAGCGGCAAGCACUUGUCUUGUCGGGAUAUUUUAUCAGUGGAAGCACAGGCUAAAGGAGGAGUGGAGCGGGCGACAACUGACAAAGCUCCGUACCAGUCUGAUUAUAUGGCAAAAAUGAUUCUGGAGAUACCUAAUUGGAUCACAUAAAACGAGGUCCUAAGAAACUACUAGUAGUAUACUAUAAAAUAUAAACGGGUUCGCUACAAGAGAGUCGUUAGGACGACUCCAUUUUUAAACCAAAAAAAAAGAAAAAAGCAAGUUAUUUUUCUUUGUUUUGGUAGGCCAUUAGCCGGCGUGAGAGUGUCGUGGGAUUUUGAGGAAGAAUUAGUAAGCAAUGAUGUCAAGAGAAGAAAACGCGGAGUUGGACCACCGACUCGAGGGAUUUUGAGGAAGAUUUACUAAGCAUCAAGAGAAGAAAACGCGGAGUUGGACCACCGACUCUUAGUCAUAGAGAUUAAUCUGGAGAAAAUGGUACAUAAACGGAUUUAGAGGCUUUUACUAAUUCCUUAGUCCCAACCGACUAGCGUAUCAAAAAGCAAAAAAGACAAGAAACUGAGCAAGUGCAGCGAUCAGUCUGCUUGUCAUUGCCCGCUAUUUUGUUUCCUGAUUGCCCUGAAAAAAAAAAGGAAAAUUGCCGUAGCAACUUCGAGCACAAGCUAAUGCCGGGAGCGGAAAAAGAAAAUCUAAAUUUACUAAAAAAUAUAUAGUACAUAAGAGCGACGAUGAAGGAAAUGCCUCUUGAAAGGAGUUGGGACACUAUUGAUUAAAGCAUGAAUUUUCCAAUGCGCCUAUGAGCGCAAUGCCUUGCCACAUCCAAAUUUUGACAGCAUGACUGUCAAAAUUAAGAUACCAGAUGCUGAUCAACCUUUGCUGCUAACCAGGAGCAUUAUUACAACCUCAAAAACAUAUGAGAAGACGAUGCCAACUUCCGGUAGGAAGCCCUUGUUACUUCGCUUACCAGUCAAGAAGCUGAAUUCAUCCACACACACACACACACACAUCUAAUUUUAUAACUCCGCAAGACUCAGGUAAGCUAUUUGUAGAGAUCUUGUUCACUUGAUGCAUUAGCAGCAUCCGACAGAAAAAGAUGAGCAAAAGAAUUCCAUAUAUCCAUCUUGAACUGAUAAGAUCAUAAGGUUCAAAAUCUGUAAAUAUCCAUGAAACAUUUACACAAAAACCUACCAGCAGGAAUGUGAUGUGAGGGAACAACAAGGCAGAAAAUGAGAAUCUAGUAAACCUAGUUUUGAGCCUAAUUUUCCCCUCAAGUUAAUCCAAAACUGUAAAAUGUCAAGAGUCCUUUCAAUGUAAUCAGAUUCUCAUGUUUAUUGUGCAUUUUUCAAUUGAACAAGAGAAUACAUGUUCAAUUCAAUCUCCAAAACAGUUUACCGUGGGGGCUGCUGGCUGUAGUGGCUCUUCUCUUUUUUCUUUGCUGCAGCUAUCCUUGCGUUCCUUGCAGCAGCCUCACUUGCUGCAGCUCGGGCAGCAACAUCCAUCUCCUUGCUAGACUUUUUCUUCUUAAUAGAUGCCAGCUUCUUCAUCUUCUCUUUCACAUCUACAGAUGGCCUGUCCUCUGCUUUUACAGACCCAAGGUUCUCAACAGCUCCACUUUCAACCUCAUUUCCAUGGGGCUGAUCAUGUUGUUCUUUAGUCUCCUUUGACAAUUUAUCCUUCUUUUUCUUCUUCUUUGCGCUUUUGCUCUCCCCUGGAGCACUGCUCUGCUUUUUAUCCUCAUUAAGAUCGUCCACCUUCUUAUCUUGUGAAAUUUCUGAAUGUAGGAGCACAAGUAGUUAAAUAUGAAUCAAAACACAGAGUAUUCAAAGAACAGUUGAACUAAUUGAAGUCAAUAUACAGCAAGAAUAUGGAAAUAUUUGUAUGUUUCCAACUGCAACGCCGAAUGCCAAUGCAAGUGCAAAAAUACAUAUCAGAUCUAAAGUGUAAAAAACUUAAUACUGUAUUGACAGUAAUAACCAUAGAAUUAGCAUACAAAAGAUCCUCUUUAAAAUGGUUAUGUUAAAAAUUUGUUCUGCCUCCAAACAAUUCAAACUGACUCGCACAAUAGCAUUUGGGACUUGGGCUACCAAAAUUAGUUUAUUCCCUCCUCCCCUCGCCCCCCCCCCCAACCCACCCUGCUUAUUAUGCAUGCCAAUGAUGGAAGCAGAACUAAUCACAGGUUCAUAGCUAAAGAAGACAGAGGGAUGUAGCAGUACAUCUCAUCCUUACAACUAAAAUUCCAUAACAAUUUCAACACUUACCCACUUUUUUUACCACUUUUAUCUCAAGUAUCGAUGUGCACAAGUAGUUUUUGCCAGAGCAUUUUAUAAAAUGGUCAAAGAAAAUGAAAAUACAAAAUCUACCUUGGGAUGCAUCUUGGUCUUUGGGCUGCUUGUAUCCAAAUUGGGCAAGCAUUUCUUCCAGUUCAGCAAGUUCCUUUUUCUUCAAUUCCUUCUUCGACAGCUGCCUUUCUGACUCCUUAGGUGCUACAAUUUCAGCAGGCUUCUCAACUACUGACUCUUUCUCAGCAUGUACUUCAGGUUCAUGUUCAUUUUCUUCAUCAUUGUCAUCAUCAACUUCAUCAAGGCCUUCUUCACUUUCACUUUCCUAACACAAGUUAUUGGAUUUGGUCAUUACAGUAGUUCAAACUACUCACAAAAGGAAAAGAAAACAAAAAGGGUUACUCUGCAAUCAAGAAAUUGGCUGCUUGAGAAGUAACUCAAACAAUACAUUUUACCCUUCCAGAUUAUAAUAACUCAAACUCAGUACUAUAAGCUUUUCAUAUGUGUUCAAUCAAUAAGACCAGGAGAGCUUCAAAUUCAGGGAACUAGAAGUUUUCUUAUUUCAUUACACCCUGAUAACUAACCCACGUUCUGAAAUCUGCUGUUCAAGUUUACUUCUGCUUGGAAAUGUUAUAAAUUAUUAGGAGUGAAAAACAAAUCACCUUAGAAUCAUUAAGAGGCAAUAUGAAAAGCAUCUCAGAACAGAGAAAGGGCUAACAGAAAAGGAAAGAAGGGAAUGACGCACAAUUAGGAAUGGUAGCAUACUAGUAUACUAAACUGAGAGCUAAAAUUUUUAUUUGUUUUGAAAAAUCAAAAUGUAAUCAACGGAGAUAUACAAGUAGGGUAGAGAUGGGGUGCGUCUAAGAUAAUAUUGAAGGAACAUAGCAAAAUGAUCUUGUAGCUUAAGGGAAAAGGCACUUAAGAAAGCGCAAGGGAUAGCAAUAGUUCAUUAAAGCAGCGGACUCUACGAACGGGUGACUCUGGUCCAAGUAUCAGAGGAUAUUAGCUUUAAAUCCUAUUCAAUUGCCAUCCCAAAAUUAUAGUGAGACAUAAUGCAAACCAGACAAGAUGAUGUUCUGUCAUUAUUACGUGUUACGAAGCAAAUCAAUUGAAAUAAUUGGUAAGAACAAGUAGCCCACAGAUACGAGACAAUCAGAACAAUAAAAGCAACAGCCAUUUGGCAACCAACAAAGUAUUCCAGACAAGCAUUUGAUCUUAAAUGAGACAAUAUAACGCCAUGACAAUUAACAUGAUUAACUCAAUCUGCAGAACAAUAGAAGUGUCGACAAAAUCUUAAUCACCGAGACAACAGGAACAUUCGCAUUUCUAUUUCAGCAUGCAACUGCAUGGUAAUGCACCCUCGUUAUUGAAACACAAAAAAUGGCGCCAUUUCCAUUUCAGCAUGCAAACGCAUGGCAAUGCAUUAUUGAUUGAAACACAUAAACUGGUCAGGAUAAAGAAAAUGUCUCAACAAAAUGCAACCUACAUGUCAAAACUACAUUGCAGGAACAAGAGAUAGCUCAAAUAAAGGUUUAUACAUUUCAAACUUCAAAUAUCCUCUAAAGCUCAUACUAAAUUUGACUCAUAAAACAUCACAUAAUAAUGUUUCUAUCAAGCAAGGUGUCAAGCACAAAAUGUAAAUUGAUGCAAAUGCAGAAGCACUUUAGCAUCAUGCAUUGGCAAUCUAGUAGUCCAUCGACAGACUUAGAGGAUGACUUAAAACCGGGGCUUAGAAAUAAAAUCCAGAUCAUUGAUUAUAUCACUAGCUCUGCCUGGAACGUAUCAAUUUGUAGACUUGCCGUAUUUUAUGUCAUCAACCUCUUUCCUUUUGUAUUUUAAAAUUUCACGUUAGGAAUGCCUUGCAAAUAAGCUCUUCAAAACUCCAGAACUUAUAACUUACUGCUAGCAGACAGUUCAUAACAUACCCAGGCACCAGUAAAUAACCAUUGCUCGAAACGGCCAAUUAUAACGGAUAUAAGUGAAAACAGAAAAAAAAAAAAAACAAAAACAAAAAGUAACACAAAAACAAGGAUGUCGGAAAACUGUAGCAAACUUGAGACGAGACCUCAAGCGGAGUGGAGCUGUCUUUUGGAAUGGGGUGAGAAUCCUGCUGGGCAGUGCCCCAAACAGACUGGGGAGGGGCAGUGGUGGCAUAAUAAUCAUCGUCAUCCUCAUCGUCGACGUCAGCCCACGAUUUGGCCGUCAAUGGAGCCGGGGCCCAAAACACCUGAGACUCAGGCUGCUUCGCUUCCUGCUUCUUGGAAGAAGAAGACGAAGAAGCGGGAGUCUUCCCCCCUUUGGAUUCCGACUUCUUCUUCUUCCUAAGAGUUCCCAAGGCCGCAAAAACGUUAUUGUUGCUUAUCACUAAAUCAUCCUUCCUGUUCCCACCUCCCACCAUUUUUUCAAGUCACAAUUGUAAUCAAUCCACAAAAAGAAGCCUCCUGAUAAACUAGCACUGAUCAGCUCCGAGAUGCUGUGAUUUCCAAAGUCUAGCCCUGUUUCUUAUGGAAUUAAUUAUGUAUAAUCCGUUUUAUCUUUUUUCUUUUUAAUGUACCUCCGCCUAUGUUUAUUUAUAUCUGUACAUAUGCCUUAUAUCUAUCUAUUCACAAGCAGCAGGCAACUAUAUAUGAACGAGCCAAAUCAAGGCGAUCCAGCUGAAGAUCGGCGAAGAUCAAAAUCUGGAAUUUAACAAGGCCAAUUGGAACCGAGGAGGCGAUGCGGGGAAACCAAAAAAAAAAAAACUCAGCAGUUUUUCUCCAAAAUGAAUAUGAUUUGUUUAAUUACUUUUUCCCCGAUUAGAGACGACAAAAGAAAUGAUGAAUGAAUCAAGGAAGGGAAACAAGACACGAAAAGGAAAAAAAAAAAAAAUCAAAACGAAAAAGAUGUCAAAAGAUACGGAGAAAUUAUAGUAGAGACAAGUCGAGAGGGGGUUGAGAGAUUAUGAUUUGAUGAGUGGGAGCUAGCAGUAUUAUUUGAUAAGAUUAGAGAGGCAUUAAUCGGAUUGAAAUGGAGGAGUGAAGAGUGAAGUUUUUGGAGAAAUUGGCAAAGCGAAUGGUUUUGGCAGGUGAAAAAAAAGGAGAAACAAAGAAGGGAAUGCGGGUUUUGGUUGGGGAGGAAGAUGGGUGGGGGCUUUUUUAUAGAGGAAAGUGGUCGGUUACGUUUUAGGGUUGGAGAAAGCUGGCACUGAGGUGCCUCAGAGUGGACAGUGUCAUGAAUCAAAGGUGAGUUGGGAAGGAAGGAUGAGGGAGUUUUUAUAUGUCUUUUUGGUUUCUUCUUCAGUCUUCUUCCUCUUUUGCUCUGAUGGAUUGUACUUUCAGUAUUCAGGUCGAGUUGUGGUUUUGUGACAUGCUGCCUUUCUAAAUGUUUGUUGCGCCAAUAAAUAACUUGGGUUUUGGUGGGUUCAUUGUCUUGUUUUGGGAUAAACAAAUGGGAAAUUGGGUUGGGGAUAGAUUUGAUUGGGUUUUGGAUAGAUUGGAUUGGCCUGGAUUGAAUUUUAGACAUGAAAGGCAGAAUACAUUAUUGUUAUUGUUGUUUGACGUGGGUGAGGGUCCAUCUGCUGAAAACCUGCUUCAAUAUGAUUGCAUUAUUACCGCGUUAGUGGAUCAUUUGGUACUUUUCCCCCUUUUUUUUUUUUUUUCUUUUCUGGGGUCCUUUUUAUUAUGGAUCAACUUGUAACCCUUAAUCGUGUGUACGGAACUCAGCCCAGUUAUCAGGACAAUAAACAAGUGAACAUUUACAUAACAAAUAAAGGAGGAACAAUUGCCAGUUCGCCAAUGACCCAAAACGAACAAGAAACAACAAACCGUCUUACUGGAAACUGCUUACAUAUUUCUGGGAUUUUGAGCAUUGGAUGGAGAGGUCAGAAACUAGAUACAGAACAUGUUGCUGAUGGAAGGCCCUAUGAUUACUGAUUAGUCAAAUGAUCCUAUUCCUAUUUCUCCUGAUGUAAUAAGUAUCUUUUAAAGUUAUUUAUCCAAGAAAAAAGAACACGAAAGCCAAGAUAAAGCAUGAUUUUUUUUUGGGGGGGUAGAAAACAUAAUGCAUUUAUGUGAAACAUGCUUUUUUCCGCCUAUACAUCAACCCUGAUAAAGUUGUGCUUGCCUUUUGCGGAUUAUCAUGGUUCUAAAGGUCUAGUACCCUAUUAGGAUCCGCAUCAACAAUUCAACAUAGUAAUUACAGUAGCUACAUCUCUUGCACCAGAGACUGUUGAAACCAUAAACCACUUGCGCCUGCUGCAGUAUUCAAAUUUUUACCAAAUAAAGAGGAAAAGGAUGAACAAAUAAAUUCAUUUUCUUGGAAUGAAAAUGUUUUUUUUUUUUAAAUUACAAAAAAAAAAAUCCAUCUCUAUUUGACAGAGGAAACCUUGGAGAAAAUCAAGAUGAGAUACCAGGGCUUUCAGUGUUCUAUCGUAGUUCCCACAUGCUGAAUAACAAAAUCAUAAAUCUUUUGCUUCAAGCGCUCGAUUUUUUCGACUAGCAGCUCAUCCCGUUUCAACACUACAUGAUCCAACCAGUUGUUGACUCGCUUCAGCUGUGAAAGAAUUGCAGCAAUAGGGCCACAGUUGUUUGCACCUCUUUCAUUGCCUGCAGGAGAGCGCUUCUCAAACACCCUGAAACCUGCAUCAAGGGACUCUUCAACAAACUUUACAAACCAUAUUUGCAUCUCUGCUUGCAACUUUUUGGCAAAAUCAAAAGUUGCAUUCAUCCCAUGACCCCUUAUCCAUGUUCCACUAACUGAUGAAGAAGCUAGCGCCUUGUUCUUCAUAGAAGUAGGUGCUUGCUUCGAUGAACUUUUCUCCAGUGUCUCAAAGUUUUGACUGGUCAGGAGUGAAACAACUUCAAGAUCAGUCGCCAAAGCAGCUUCUACCCAAAGGGAACUCGACUUUGCAUGCUCUGUUGGAACAGUUUCGAGGAAUUUUUCCGUACUACGAUUACUAGCAACUGAUUCAGCAACUGCUGUUGCUUUCAUAACAUCUUCAUACACUGACAUGAAUCGGUCGAUGGUAGGUAAAGGAUUCUCAGGCCUUGACAACAAACAGAGAUCUGAAAACUUGCUGUGGAUGACAAAGGUAAAAGAUUAAGCCAAACAAUUCCACACAGAAAGUAAAAGGUGAAAUCCUUCAUUUGUAUUAUAUGGCUGUACAAUCUAUUCCAACAUUCAAUGUAUAAUGCAUCAUGGAUAGUCAUUUUAUGCCAACCUCUGCAAAUAACAUAAAUCAAGACAGGUUCAUGCCUUUGCCAAGUAAGUUGUGUAUCAAUAUCCUAAACUAUUGAAAUUGUGCUUGUCUAAUACCUCUUGAACCAUGAAAAUGUGACUGAAUUUACGAACAACAGCACAUUAGCUAAGCUUUGGCUUGAUGUUCAUAGUACGGGAUAAGAAUUACCUCAAAUUCCUCACGACAGACUCGGUGGUGAUGGCCUCUUCUAAGGCUUCUGCUGCUGCUACAGAAGCGACAACUCUUCUCUGCAUAGCCUCCUGUACAAAGACAAUCUUGAAUAUCACUCUACAUGAUCUUGUUUGUCGUUGUUAUAGCAAAGCUGUUGGAUAUUUAUGGUUGAGGCCAACGAAUAAUUUAUUGUACCAGCACAAUAAAUGAUUGAGUUUACCUUGCCCAGCCUACCCAGUUCUGAGGAGACAGCAUUGAGUGGGAUGCUGCCAUCAGUCCAUUUCUUGUCAUGAACCGUGAUUACUGGAGCUUCACCAUUUUGCUUUUCAAUUGCGGAAGGACUUUCAACUGCACCAGAUUUUGUUCUUUCAUCAUGUGACAGAUCAUCAUGACUUAGCAUGCUCACAUCACUUAAUCGUCUUGAUAUAGCAGCCUAGAUAACAGCACAAAUUGUGUACUACUGCAUAAGAACAUUAUAAUGUUGAUUCCUAAAUUACAACUGGACAAUCGACACGCCCUUAUUUAUUAAAUCUAUAGUAUUAUCUACGUUUUACCUUGCAAGUUAAUUCAAUUAAGCAUACAAUCGGUGCUAUUUUUGCUAUAAUGAGACGAUGACUGACCUGAGUUCUCAAAAUUGCUUGAAAAUCAGGCUUAUUCUUUGUCCCAACCUUGUCUUUAAUAUGCUCAGUAUUAGCCCCAGCCGCAGUUGGCCCUUCGUCCCAGCUCUUUCGGCUAUGUUUUGUAGUCGCCACAAGUGCUUCAGAAACUUUAGAGAUCCCAGCAGCAAUAGUAGCCAGCUUCUUCUUCCCAGACGAUUCUACAGCUGGAGAUACCCUAAGCCCACUGGACAACCGCCGACCAGGGGAUAGAGACAUCCGCCUCGCCACCACAGGACUGGCCUGCCGCCUCCCAGCCGUGGGCGACGGCUGCCGGUACCUCGAGGGCACGAUUAUCGCCGCCUCCCUUGAACUCCUCCGAUUCUCCUCCUUCGCGGCGACCAGGCUCGGCACCGCACACUUUGACGGCACGGGUGACGCCGAACGCUUCGCCUUCCCUGCUGGGGAUGGAUCCCUCUCGGCAACCACGGUUUUUCUUCCAGCUGAAAUAGACCUCUGCCUAGCCGAUGCCGGCGACGAAAACCUUUGUGGGGCCUUAUCAGAUGAUCCUUUCAACUCAUUUCCGGAAUCCAGCACCACGUUCACAUUCACAUUCUCUUUGGGAGCAGUGGAAACUUGCCUCACAGCCUUCCUCUUUUCAACAUUAGCUUCAACAUUCUUUUCCGUAGCAUUCAAUUUCGCUUCGCCCUCCCCAAAAUUCCCAUUUUUUGAUAAGUAAGCUGCCACCGGGUGGUCGGAAUCCGAUGCGGGCUGGAUCACAAACCCAUUCUUAGACGACGAGAUCCGGGCAAUUAAGGGUUCAGGGGAUCCGAUGAAAGCAUGGCGACCCGCAAUCGGUCGGAGAUUUACUCCCCGUGGAACCGGAGGGGAUUCAAAGACGAAGCGGUCCACGUGGACAAACUGGCCAAGCUGUAGCCUAUUAGCGAGAAUGAGAUCGGUGUCCUUUUCGGAGAGUGAAAUGUAAGUGGAGUUCUGGGAAUCGGAGAGCUGGACGUAGAAGCCGUGGUUGGGCCAGAGGGAAUCCGAGGUGGAGAGUGCUGGAACGAUGCCGAUUACUUGAAGAAGCGGAGAACGGUGGUCGCCGGUGACGCGGGUGGCGGAGUUCAUGGACUGGAGGAGUUUCAGGAGGAUUCCUGGGGUUAGAGAAGCCAUUUUUCUGCUUCUGAAAAGAAAAAAAUUGCUAUCCUCUAUCGGAAAUGUGGGUUUGGGACGUUAGUAUAUUUCAAUUUGAAAGUUUGAAAUCCCGCUGAAUAUUUUAAGUUUGAAAUUGGGAGAUGUUGGAGCCAGGUGGGGUCAGGUGCGAACAACGUGAUCGUAACGGCUAGGCAGAUUUUGUAGGAGUGCUGCUUCUUGCUCCUUGGCGGACUCGGGGCACGGACGGUUGCAGGUGCAACCGUCCCUGGCAAGUUUUAUCAUUAUCAACUGCGCGUAACUUUCUUUGUACAUCGUGUAAUUUUUUUUUCACAGGAUGUAUUUUCACAACAGAUAGUGGUGGGCCCCACACACAGCGCGGAAAUCGAGUUACAACUUGUUAUCUCAGCCGCACAAUUUUUUGAGGGGGAAUCUGGACCGUUAACCGUGCAGGGACCUGCCCCAUUUCCCUCCUUGGCCUCCUAGUCUUUUAGUUUUAGGCCUAGCAAAUUUCCAUUCUCCAGUGUCUGUGAAAGUUCUACUCCAUAUUCUAAUCAGUUUAUCAUUGAUCAAGGGUUUAGCAGAACAUCUCCUAUUUCUUUGAAAUAUACCACCUUAAUCGAGCAUUGAUCUUUUAGCAUUUGCGCAGGGUAAAUGGAUAUCACGUCUGAUUUAAAGGUGAAAAACAAAAAAAUCUCUGUGAUAAACUUAAUAUACAUAAAGUUUUUUGUGAUUUCAAAACAUACAACACAACAUUUCAUACUUUAAACUAAAUUGUAAAAAUCACGGAAUCUGUUAAAAUUAACGGGGACGAACAAAAUAACAAAAAUACCCUGAUAUAAUUAAACAGAAGACAGCUUAACAAAAAUACCCUGUUAAAAGUUAGGUAUAAAAAAUUUAUUUUUAGAUUCCAAGUUAUUUUUGUUAAUUUUAACACAUUUUAUCAUCUUUAUAAUUUAGUUGGAAGCAUGAGGUGUCAUUUUAUACAUUUUAAAACUACGGAAGACUUUUCUGUAUAUUAAAUUUACUACAAGGGGAUUUUUUAUUUUUUACCCUUGAUUUAAUAACCUUGGGCAGUUGUCUAGCUUUACAUAUUUUUAGAGGCUGAGAGUGACUUCAGUUAUCUACGUUAGUAAGCUCCAUCAAGCUAGUUGAACUUUUGGUUAUAAAUCGUAAUUCCCCAGUGAAAUUUAGGUAAUAAGCAAUUGAAAACAUAUAAUUUCUGCGAGAACCAAGUACGUGAAUGUUCUCUAAGCUCCAAACAGAAUGACAAGCUUAAAAGAAACAGACUAAGGAUGAAAAUUACACUACUUCAGUUGGCACAAGCCAAGCUACACAGAAAUGUAAGGCCUAGGACCUCAAAUAGUUUUAGAGCCAGCAUGCCUCAAAAGUUUGGAUUGCAAGGAGUCGCACAGACAUAACGAAAUUGCUCCAUACGCAUAACCGUUCAAUCCUUUUCCGUCUCUUUUGAAUCAAUAUAUCAUCUUCUUUUGGACCUUCAAGAUUAGAGAAGAGGGGAGCACAUAGCUGGCUAAAGAAUUGCAGUAACAGAAGUAUAACAGCUUUCCUUUGAAUCAUAUAAGAUUGAGUCGUAAUCUUAAGCAACAAAGAAUAAGAAAAUCAUGAGGAAGAGAAUCACUAUGAAGAAUAUCUUGAUCAUCAGCCAUCGGUUUGAGGAGAUACUGUUGAAGUACCUCAUCAAUUGGCUCUGUGCACCUUCCACACUUGCAAGGGUAUCUUCCAUGUUUUCGUCAAUUCUGCCACUCAUAUGAAGUAUAAAAUCAAUAAAAUGCUCAAUUUUUCUCCUCCAAGAAGCAUCAUGAAAUAAAGUCCACAUGGAAAUAGAAUAGCAGUAAUCUUGUUUCCAAGUCCGUUAAGCAGUAAUUUAGGGAAUUCUAAAACCCUUUCUAAGCCGAUCAACGUACCACCGCUGACCAUUUAUUGAGAUCAUACUGACUCUAAUUCAUGAAAAGAUGCAGUGGUCAAAUUAUUAAAUCACAUCAGCAUAAUAGUCUAUGAGCUGAAUCCACCAGCCUCAUUCAAAUAACAAAUCAAUUCACAGCAAAGGACACAUAAAAAUGCUGUGUAGCCAAAAAACAUGAGCUCUUUGCUGAAAAGCAUUUGUGUGAAAAUACAAAUGUGGACCAACCUGAUUGCAAGUUCACCCUGCUGAGAAACCAUUGUUGCUAAUUGGGUGAAGAUAUUGCCCAACUCAUGAAUUGUUGACUCAACAUUUUGAAGGGCAGUGGCUCUGCUUUGAACGAAAUUGUCCUGCAAUGGAGCCAACUGCUGUUGACUUUGUUGUUGUUGAAGCAAUGAAUGUGAUUCACCUUCUGCCUGGUUCCUGGAAAAUUUGGUUAAAAAAGUUCUGCAAUUAAUUAUUCUUGCCAAGACAAACAGCUUUUAUACACGUUCUUCAUUAUAAUGUACAACAUGAUGCAGCUCAGAAUGUCAAUGAAGAUAUCCCAAAUGGAUAGUGCUAACUUUCUAGAUGCUUGUAUACAAUAACUUAGUGGCAAAGAGGAACCUUUUGCCUCCAAGAGCGUUCCAAUGCCACAAUUUAAAGGGCUAAAAUACUCAUUACCAGCCAAGACUUCACAAUGAGCAUUCUUGAUUGAAAGUAGAUGUCAACCAGAUUUAGCAUAUUUAGCUAACAUAAAUUUAAUUUGCAAAAAUUUCAAAUAGUUGGCACUGAAAAACCUCAGAAGUGAAUCAGUCAAUUACCAAACAGUUGAAAUUUACCAAAGUUUGAGAGGACUAGACCCAACCUCCAUAAGCUCAUAUAUUUGUUAUGCAAUAACAUUAAGAAGCUCAAAACCAGGCUUAACAAGGUUUGACUAUAUACCUUGGGAAUAACUGGGAUGAAGUACUGGGCUCGCUGGCCCACGGAGGGGGAGAUAUUGCGGCACUAGCAGCUGCCCUGGUAGCUAAUGGGCGUUGGCGAAUGAACGGAUUAGAAGACUCUUUUGAAGCAGAUGAAGAAAAUAACUGCCUCCGGUUUUCAUGCACCUUCAUAUUCUACAACCAAAAAACUCAAACGCUUAGCAAUGAAAAACAUCUGCAGUAGUAGAGCACUUCUUCACUGACAGACAAAACACCUCGGUUCGCAAGGUAAGGACUUCUUUGAACUCCUUUGUAGUGGUCAUCAAGCUAUUCUUCAAGUUGUCAACAACAGUGGUUGAAUGAGCAGAGCUGUCACUAGACAAAUUUCCCUCAUUUUGGGAGUUGGAUAGGAGCUGAAGGUCUACUACAGCUGAGUUUAGUGCAGUGAUGUCCUGCUUGAUUACAGUAGUCAACUCUUGGAUCUCCAAUGUUGGAUCAUCAAAAACUGAUGUUUUCUUUGCCACUGUGAAAACUAAAAUUAUGUCAAGUGCCUUGUUAUUUUCCAGGUAUUUCACAUACAUGAUUAACCCAACAUGUGGACUUUUGAUGCAAUAGAUGGUGCCGUGAGAGAAAGAUCACAUCAGAUUUCUGGUAAUUGCAAAAGUAUCCGACUCUAAAUCAUGUAGUUGCCUUCAUUGCAUGACAUAACUAUUGCAUAGAACAAUAAGUUAAAAUCCUAACACCGCCAAUGGCCAGUCAUCUUCAAACUAGGGAUGGAUUUAACUGUAUAUGGACGACUCCAUCUAUUUUCCAGACGCACAGUACUUUAUAACAAGAAUAAAUGGACCUAGUUUCUGAUACUUGACUGGCUGCUCAUCAGAAUUUCUCUGUUUCUCCAUCCACCUUUUUUUUUUUUUUUGAUAAGUGAUUUUUCCUCCAAACAACUCCUAUAUUGCUUCUUAGUGCAAAACAACUUUUGUUUUUCGAUUAACAUAUAAUUCAAAAACUAAAAUAACUUAGUUGGAAAAACCAAAGUUAAAUAUAUCAACCACCUAUAAUAACAAAAAUUCACAAAAUCAAAAUCAAUCGUUUAAAUUCUCAACAUCUUGCAGUGCAUAAGCAUAAUUGUUUUAUCAAUUUUUGCCAUAUAAUUUCAUAAUUCUCCAAUAAUUUUGUAUUGAUCUCAUGAUUCAAUUUCUUUACGUAAAAUUAAAAUUACUUAAAACACCAGAUAUAACUAGAUAAUCCAAUCCGAAACUAAGUGUAAUGAUCACCUAAUUCAGUAAAUAAGCAGAGAAGCAGUUUCUAACAUUUGGCAAGCUUAGAUAGCUUUUGCGAGGUCUGAUGGAUCCCCAACGCGACUCUGGAUGCCCUCUUGUUGAACUCCGACUGAAUCGGAGCAGCGGAUCGCGUCGUCUCCUGAGGUGCGGAUGUGGGGUUGCCAUCGAAGCCACCGCCCGAACUGCUACUCGGUGCAGUGGAAGCCGGUGAUAAUGAGGAUGGCUUCUUGAGCUUCUCCACUAAACUCUCAAACUCAUGCGUUCGAUCUCUAUACGAUGUCGUUUUCACAGGCAUCGUUUCUACUUUUAACAACUAUCUCUACUAUCUUAGAAUCAACUGAGCAAGCCCCGGCAUCCAAAAUCCUAAAUUGUGUGUAUCUAUAUAUAUACAACAUAAGUAUCAAAAAAGAUUUGUCUGUAUUGUUUAUAUUCUUGAAAUCUUGUUAGAUCUGAGGAGUGAAAUAAAAGAAAAGAAUACGAUGAAAUUUCCUUUUCUAUUACUGGUCAGUGGGAUUAUGACAUGUAAAUUUAGGCAAAUUUAAAACCGGGGAAUUUAUAGGCUUGUUGUUGCAGAGCUUAUUUCUUAUUUCUUGUUUGUUUGUUUUUUUUUUUUUUCCAUUUAUUUCCUAUUUCACCCCCCAAUCCUUUGGAAUUUCCAUAGAGACCGCUUCAAGGUCUUUGGAAAUGGCAUUUGGCAACAGAAAGUUUUUUAUUUUUUAACGAAUCAAAACUAUCUUAAUCUUUUUGGUUAUUACACUUUGUUCUCCCUUUUUGAGAUGCGCUAGACAAAUAUUUGGAAAAUGAAAUUAGCAUUCAUCAAAAAACUUCAAGCACUCCUUAAACAUUAUCUAAUGUAAAACAGGCAUUUCUUAAACUUCAUCUAAUGUGAAACUAAGAAAAGAGUGUCUGAGGUUUUUUAAAAAGUGUUAAAUAACAUUUUCCAAAUAUUUGAAUUAUACUACUUUUGUUUGUAAAAUAUUUGUUACUAUGACACACAAAUACUGAUUGGGAAAAUUUUUUUGUGUAAAAAGGCAAAAAAUUAAUAAUUAGGAAGAUUAUGGUGUUUACUGUUUGUUCUUGGCUCACAAUUUCAUGCCAUUGCAAUUACGCAACUUACCACUUAGAUUUAAAAAAAAAAUACAAGGAAAAAGUAGAACUUGAGAAGGGGAAGAGGAAGAUUUGAACCAAAAUUUUAUUUUUUGGUGUGUUAAUCUUAACCACUAAACUAAUAGCUUACCAUUUGGUUCAUUGUAAAUACUAUCAAUUUUUGUUUCCCAAAACAUAGUAAAUGGUCAUAUAUACCACAAAAAAAAAAGGGAGAGAGAGAGACAGAGAGAGAACUUUGAAACGUGUAAUUGGAAUAGCACAAUGACAUUUAGGUCUACCACAUUCGUAUUUAUAAAAUGCAUACCUCAUAAUGCAGUCCUUGACUGGAGAUUCGAAUCGUUCAAGUAAUUUAAGCAGAGUUUGGCGUCUGACAUGGGGGAAAUGCAAAUGGUUCGAAAUAGGAGUAGAAUCUCAAAAUCGUCGGAGCUUAUUCCAACUAGUGAAACAAUCGUUUCCAAAAUAGAAACUCCGCUGUCUAACGUAAUGGAAGAGGGAGAGGAUAAGAGAGAAGAUAAUUCUGAAGAGGAUGUUUCCAGAAUCCAACAAGUACAGCUGCCAAAAACUACGGCGACAUUUACAAGCAACCAAAACGUACAGCCGUUCUUACAAUUAGCAAGAACGUGGGACAGCAUACGGAAGUAAAAUUGGUAUAGACGAAUUAAUAAUCUGUUUGGAUUGUGAAUUAUUAGAGAUAUUUUUACUGUUGCACUUCUUGUGAUGUGAUGUAUGUGAGAUAAAAAGGUAAUUGGGAAGGUAAAAAGGUGUAUUGAAAAUUGGAAUGAUGAUGUAAGCAAAUAAAUUUGGAAAAAUAAAGCCCAAUCCAAACAAACCAUAAGUUAGGAACCUAAUCAAGGUCCACGAUUAAUUUACAUCCAGCUAAAUUAUCUCCAAAUUGAAUGGUUCAGAAUCACAUUCGAAGAGGCUAAACCGCCCACUCAUGAGUACGUGAAGGUAAAUUCCUUUGACUAAAAGUGAGAUUAUGUUCCGUAUCUUGAAGCAUAGACAACAGGAUUGCACAACUUUCUCAAAAUCGAUGGAAAAAAUUGACGUAACUUUAUCUUUCCAUAAAAUACUUCUUUAUUGGAUAUCUUAGGCAACAAAGAAUAGGAAAAUCAUGAGGAAUACAACCAAAACAAAAAAUAUUUUGAUCAUCAGCCAUCUGUUCGAUGAUAUACUGUUCAAGUACCUGACCAGCUGCCCUUGUGCCCCUUCCACAUUUGCAAGGGCAUCUUCCAUGUUUUCGUCAAUUCUGCCACUCAUAAAAUUAUGAAGUGAGUUUGAUGGCCAUCCUCGAGUAAGUAGUCCAAAAAGAGAAGAAUAAUAAAUCAGAAGUAGUAGUCUAUACUAUAGUCAAGUAUCUAAACAUGACAAUGAUUCAUUUCCAGACAAGCUCUAAACUAGUGCAUUUUCUUGUAUCAAAACAGCAUGUCAUGAUCAACGAAUAUUAUACAACACUGGCUCUUCAUAGCCAGACAGCAUGCUGUAAUCUAUAGUCAUGUUGUGAUAAACAAAUGUUUUUGUAAUCUACAUUCUUAUGUUUUAUGCAUGCUGUGGCUCACCUAUCUAUAAAUGGUCGAUGAAACCUGUUCUACUAUGCACUCAAGGACGACAGAGCAAAGAAAAGAUCAAGAAUCACCAAUAUCAAUUUUUUCUCUUUUUAAUGUAUGAUGGACCAACAAAUCUUAUCAAAAGCCUUCGGACUUGGAAGUAAGUCCUACUUUUGGCACAUAACUCCAAAGUCCUAAAGGAUUCAAUAUUUAAGACCUUACUGCCCCUUAACCCGUUCACAUGCUGAUUAUUAUUAGCUUUUAAGCAAAGUAUUGAUCACCAAAUAUUUUUUCCCCAUCUUAUGAUCCAACUUUCCAGUAUAUUGGCAAAACAAGUCUUCUUAGUAAGUGACAUGACUUCAGAGUCAUCUGUGGGAGUUACAAUUCACGGUCAAAAAAAACUUUGACCAGGCUUGGGAGCGCAAAACUAACCAAAAUAUGAAUUGUUGAUAAGAAUAAAAAUAGAUGCAUGCUGAACAACAAGUGAAGCCCUAUAGCCAAUAAAACCAGAAGUGAUAAUAGAAAAAAGAAUUCUGGAAAUAAAAGUAGCAAACCAACCUAAUAGCAAUUUCGCCUUGCUGAGAAACCAUUGUUGCCAAUUGAGUGAAAAUAUUGCUAAGCUCAUGUAUAGUUGACUCGACAUUAUGAAGGGCUUCAGCUCUGCUUUGCAUGUAACUGUCUUGCAAGGGAACCAGCUGCUGCUGCUGCUGCUGGUUUUGCUGCUGCUGCAUCAAUGGUUGCGAUUCGCCAUCUGCUUGGUUCCUGGAAAAACAGAGAAGUUCACAAUGAGGUCCAAGUUCGCAAAGCAUCUAGAGCAGGAAUUUACAUUGGAAGGUUUUUUAGAAUUUGCUUUUUCAUAUACAAGAAUAUGAACCUCCUAGUGAUGCAUUCAGGGUAAAUUAAAAUUUUCAUUUAUCUAGUUGGAAAAAAUAAUUUUACAAAAGGAAGCAAAUGAAUUUCAAGGCAUUGCCAAAUUCCUAAUACAUUUUCUUCUCCUGUAAACCUUUUUUUUUUUAAAUAUACCUCGUCACAUUGUCAAAAGGAUUAUAAAAUGUUCAGCACAGACAGAAAGAAGAGCCUUUAAUUGAUCAUUGGCAGCCAAAAAGUUUUUGAAAGAAUGUAACAUGGCAACAGUUAGUAGAAAACUUCCCACCUGUUUAUGUAUGACAAAAAAGAACGGUGACAAAAAAAAUUUCUAGCUAAACAUAGAAUGUCAAGAUUUAUCACUGGAAGAUUACUUGAUCUACAGGACAUUACAGUUCUGAAUCAGAGUUUAUUAAGAUAUCAUUAUCUCCUUGCCAGACUUCAAAAGCAAUGAAAUCUAGAGGAUAUUAAAAAGUUCAGCUCCUGACUAAGGCUCCACUGGCUCAUUAUAAUUAUAAUGCAAACAUAUUCAAGUCCAAGGCCAGAUCUGUAAACUAUCAUAUUUACCUUGGAAACAACUGAGAUGAAGAAGUGGAGCCAUUUGCCCAUGGAGGGGGAGAUAUUGCAGAAUUGGAUGAUGUUCUGCUCACCAAGGGGCGCUGGCGAACAAAAGGAUUGGCAGAUUCUUUUGUUGUAUUUGAAAACAACUGCCUUCGGUUUUCAUGAACCUUGAGGUUCUGAGGUUAAAAACAAUGGUAAUAUAUUUAAACAACUAAACCACAUCAAAGAAACAGAACCAACUGUAUCCCCAGAUAAACGUUAAUAGCUACCCCAUUCCAUUUAAUAACAAGAAGUAUACCUCUGUCCGUUUGGUUAGUACAUUUUUGAACUCUUGUGUGGCACCCAUCAAGUUAUUCUUCAAGUUAUCGACAACUGUAGUUGAAUGUGCAGCGCUAUCAGUUGACAAACCACUUUCACUCUGGGAGUUGCUUAGGAGCUGGAGGUCUACCACGGCAGAGUUAAGUGCUGUAAUAUCCUGCUUGAUUACAGCUGUCAACUCUUGAAUUUCCACAGUUGGAUCAUCAAAAACUGAUGAUCUCUUAGCCACUGAAAUAACAUAAAUUGUUUCAAGACCUUUCUUUUGUUAUUGAAAAGAACAAAGAAGAUUCAACUUGAGAAUGGUGUUCAUGCAGCAUAAAUCUAGUUCAACCACAUAAAUUAGAAUACAAAUGCAGUCGCCCAGCAACUCUAAGAAGCAGUGACAAACUUUCCAAUAUGUACAGGGUUUGCAUUUCAAUGAGAAAUAACCCCACUUCAACUUCCUCUGAAAAUGGGCUAUUAGCACAAGUGAUCGUACAAAACAUUGUUCACAAAGUCAAUCAAUGGAAUAGUUUUGAAUAAGUCAAAUUAAGGUUUAUUAGUUUGCUUUUUCCAAGAAUACUACACCCUGUUCAAGCUCGUGGCUAGUUACAGCCAUAUUCCAUCCACAUCUUCAUUCUUAUAUGAGAUCUAAAUCCAACUGCUUGAAGCUACACAAGGCUAGUUACAGCCAUAUUACAUCCAAAUCUUCAGCCUAAUGGGAGAUCUAAAUUCUACUUCAAACAGUAACUCUAUUGAUUGAGACAAUUAGUUUCCCUUGUUAUCUUUCUUCUUAAAUUUUUUUUUGAACAACAACCUUCUAAAGAUGCCACAUUUCAAACCAGCUAACUACUAUUAGAUGGCAUGGGAAAAAAAUGCACUUAGUAGGUCCAUCCAAAUAUACUGUGAAUACUGAACCAUUGCCAAGGCAGUUGGUUAUAGUUAAUUACAAAAUAGCCGUGUGACGUAAAACUUCAGUAAUUAAAUCACUUCAAUUCCAGCAAAAGUGAGAUUAUAUACAUAUAUAUAAGAGUUAAAUGAGAACUCAGAUCGCUCCAAAUUAAAGCUCCAUACCAUAUAUUAAUCAACAAUCCUGACAUGCAAUUUCGAAUUUUUCCAGUUCCUCCCAAGAAAUACUUUCCAUCCAAUUGCCUAAAUGCAAACCUAAACCUAAGGUAGAAAUUUAAGGAAUAAUUCAGUUUAGGGAAAAAAAAGAAACGUAAAAAAGGAGGAUUUAGUACCGACAUUUAGCAAGCUUGGACAGUUUCUGAGAGGUGUGGUGGAUCCCUAGCGCGAUUCUGGAAGCUCUCCGGUUGAAUUCGGAUUGAAUCGGGGCAGCGGAUCGAGAAGGUUGAGCCGUGGAUGCGAAGCCCCCGCUGCCGGCGUCGUAGGCUCCGGCUCCGCUACUGCUGGGGGCAUUAGAAGCCGAGGACGAUGAUUUCCUGAGCCUGUCGGCGACGCUCUGAAACUCUAGCGUCCGAUCUCUGAAAGAAGUGGGUUUGACAGGCAUUGCUUGCUUUGGAGCAAGCGGAAAUUACAUAAAGAAAAUUUCUCUCGUCUCUUCUCUAAUUCUAAACGCGCUAAAUUGCAAAUGGAUGUGUAAGAAUAAAAUUUGGAAAUUAAAAAAGAGUAGAUCUGGAACGGAGGUGCAGUGAAAUUUGUCGAAAGAGAGUCGAUAGCUAGAUACGGGGUGGUGACGUACUGUGCUGCGCCGAUUAUUUAAAAGGGUGUCAGAGAUGGGACCCCCGUUAACGAGUCUUGUUUGCGUGGAGGAGAGGAAACAGGACAGGGUGGACUUUUGAUAUUCUGCGAGAAGUAAAAAUAAAUAAAUUGGAUUAAUUUUUAGGCUCUGUUGCCGUUCAGGAAUUUUAGCUCUCAUGAAGAUAAAUUCUUCCCUCAAAAAAAAAACUCCCAUGAAGAUUACAAGCACGUCUUUGCAUAUUAGGAAAAACUUGGAAUUUUAGACAGAAACAGAAAAUUCUAGUCAAGCUUAUAUAGCGUGACAAAAUGUUUUUUUGGUUAGAGAACACAUUUCUAUCAAAAAAUCUUUUUUUUUAUGAACACAUUUUCCAAUCACCUUUUUAUCUUAUAUAUAUAUCAAAUCACUAUAUUACAUUUUCUAUAAAAACUUUAGAAAAUUGCAAUCCAAACACAACAUAAAUUACACACUAAACAUUGAAUUGAAGUAGAUUUUGACGGAUUUAAAAUAUAAUAUAGAGAAAAGAAGUAUCCAAGUUAAAGACUUUCAAACUGAAUAAAGUUUUGGUCCAAACUAAGAGAAUGAAGUAAAACUUAGAGUUUGAAGUUUAGAAUAGAAUAAUGAUUGCCAAAAUAAAAGAUAAUUUUACAUUAUAUGUUCAUCAAAUUCUGUUCAGUGAACCACUAGUAAAAGUGGUAAAAUGGAUAUAGAUCAUAAUUGGUAUCAUGAAUUAAAUGGUGCAAUUCGUUUAAAUCCAUAUAAUAAAUGGUUGUAUAUGGAUUGAAUCCAAAAUAUUUGGAUAGUAAAAUUUUUCUAAAAAAAAUUUCUCUUAUAUCAUAAAUAUAUUUUUCAAUCCAUCUUUUUUAUAUUCCCAACCACCUUUUUAUCUCACAUACAUCGCAUCAUAAAAAAGUACUAUAGUAAUUAUCUCAAAUAAUUAUUUGAAAAAUAUCCUAUCCAAACAACAGCUAAUUUCUUUAACUAACAACAUGCAGCUUAAAAUGACACUCCUAAGUUAAUUAAUAAGAUGAGUUUUGAUAACUAAGAAGAAUAAAAAUGGAAAAAGAAAAUAAAUAAAGCAUGCAAAAAAUUGGAAUACGCUGAUUGAGAAGAAACCUUUGACCGCGUGAGUUAGAAGAGCUGAAUAGCAUCUUGGACUGGGAAUAUUUACUCAGUUGCUUGUUUCACAUAUUGGAAUCGGAAAUGGAAAUGAAAUCAUGAACUCUAGUUUUGGAAUUAAAUUUUUCAUUCUAAUAUCUUAGUUUGAUUCACACGCUGAAACUAGCAUGUUUGGUUUGAUGAGUGUUUGACCAUCUUGACUGGUUGACACAAUUGUAAAGCUGCAGAAAUUCUCCAACUCCAACACCUCAUCAUUCCAUUCAAUGGCCUUAAUAUUCCCUUCCUUCAAUUUUUUCACAACCUUUUCCUUGGAAAAAUGUCUGCAUUGUUUGGAGAAUGGUAGAUGAAAAGGGACCAAUGCAAACUUGGGUUUGCCUUUCUAUCUCAUCUUGACGGCUAUAACUUUUUCCUCAACGUCUCCUUGAUCUAGAGCACAAUCACCAUGGUCAAUGUCGAUGUCAUCAUCAUCCGAACAUCCUAGGAGGAGGAGGAGCUUCAAGGAUUUUCACCUUCACCUUGUACCUUCUGGUGGCCAGAAUCAGCCACGGCGACCACUUCAUCAUCUUCACCACCAUCCCUUCUGAUUCAAUUGGAAUUUGAUUAAACAAAUCCAAUACAAGCUAGUUAGUUAAAAGAAACAAAAUAGGGAAGAAGAAAACUAGAAAAGAGAAAAAGGAAAGAUUUUAUCGUUGAGGGUUGAGGGUUGAGUUUUCUUUUUCAGUUUUUCUUGCAGAUAUUUCUUUUGGAGAUUUUGUUGAACAAAUUGUCUACUCAAGAUAUUUGUCCACUGUUAACCCAUUUAGAUUUACUUUAGAUCUUUUUUUUUUUAAGAGAUUUUGGAUAAGAGAUGAAGAAUAUAUGGGAUGAUAGAAAAACUGAUGAAGAAGAACAAGAGAGUGAGGGGUGUGUGAUAGAAAGAGAGAGAGCAGAGGCGUUAAUUAUAUGUGAUGGGUAGAUUUGUCCAUAAAUGUUGUGAAGGAAUAAUUUGAGGGUUUUGUCCAAAACCCCCCAAUUUGUUCUGGAAUGGAAGAAGUCCGAUUUUUUAAAAAUGAUUCCAAUAAGUUUAACCCAAGUAACAAAUAAGGAAAUUAGUUCAUUCCGUGAUUCGCAAUCCUUUUAACCAAGCGGCCCCUCAGCAUCAUAAGAAAACAGUGGUACUACCAAAACAUGUUGGGUUUGCUUGUUACCUUCUUAAAUGAAUUUCGGCAAAUUAUAUUUUAUCCCCCAUAUAAUUUAGUAUUUUUAUACAUAAUCCCCUUAUGAUUUCAAAAAUUAUACAUAACCCUCCUAUGAUUUGAAUUAAAGUGUCAAAGUGACAGAAAUGAUCAUUCAUAACGGAACCUUUAAAAAUAUUGAAAUUACCGUUAUUUAAAAAUUAAAAUGACUAAAGUGAUUAAAAUAUAUAAACAUAAUAUACAUGACGAUCUAAUCCUGUAUGAUUUUAUACUUUACCAUAUAACUCCCUUAUGAUUUAAUGUUUUAUCAUAUAACCCCUUUAUGAUUUUCAAAAUAUGCACAUAACCUUCCUGAGGUUAAUAACUAAUUUUUAAUUUUACACAGGGUAUUUUUGAUAUUUUAGGUGACUCUAUUAUGGAUUGCAAAUUCCGUUACUUUGACACUCUAAUUCAAAUUAUGAGAAUGUUAUAUAUAACUUUUGAAACUAUAUGAAAGUUAUGUACAAAAACACUAAAUCACCGGGGGGGAUAAAGUGUAAUUUGUCCAAUGGAUUUAGAUGGAUGAUCCACUUGAAACCAUCAAGCCAAUUGGUUUUAUUUGGAUGUCCAUUAAUGUCCAUCUAAAUUUUUUUAAUAAUCCAAAACCAUUUAAGUGAGAUGGAUAUGGAUGGUUAAAUGGAAAUGGAUGGAAAUUGCCACCUCUAACCGCUAGCAUAUUUACAAAGAAUAUUGGAUCAAAGGAAUAAAUGAGACAUAAUCAAAGAGAUGCAGAAUCCUCAAUUAUGAUCCAACUCUACAAAUAGCCACUGUUAUAAUCUGCACAAAUAUAUGUCAGACUCUUGAUUUUCCACUAAAAAAAAAGAAAAAAGAAUACUUCUCUCCAUGUCGCUGUCUAAAUAUUAGGAGAUGAGAAGCAAAAACACAACGCAUCCUUCAAGAACAGCCAGCAAAAUGUUCAGCAGUGUCUUGUGCAGCAGUGCCAUUGAAUGACCAUCUGCAAUCAUCACUGGGAACUGACAUUCGUCAUCAGAGGGAUCUUCAUCUGUGACAACGGCCAAGCCUGAGAAAUCACAAUCCCACCCAUUCUGGUUUUUGAAUUGAUAAUACAUGUUAAAUGCAUAGGAAGCAUUACCCUUGGCACUCAAAUGAUUGCAGGAAGAACCAUACCCCAAUGAAGUACAAUCUGAAAGACUACAUGCAUAAUCAAUAUUUUUGGGUAAUUCUUCUAAUUCUUUAGCACGAGGGUCCAAAAUACACCACCUCCUUAGCAUGUAUCUUACACCUUCAACUGCAACUAGACCUUUUUCUUCCCGAGACCCUGACAAAUCCAACUCAUAUUUUGGCUUCCCAUCAAAUUCAAAAAGUCCCCAGUGCCUCUCAAAGCUGCCAGGCUCAAUGCUUUUGGCAUUCUCGUCUAUUAGGCUAAAAAGGUACACAUCUAUGCUGCCAUUUCUAGCAGGGGUUCCAACUCCACCAGAAACAUGCUGAAUCAAUCCCUGAUUAAAUCUUUUCGCAUUCUGGAUAUUGGCAUUCUUAUCCCCAUCCGUUGGCCACCCGACUUCUCCAAUAAUGAUCUUCAUCUCAGGGUACCCAGCUCUACUUAAUGAGGAAACAAGAGUAUCAAAAUUUGCAUCAAACACGUUGGUGUAAAGAUAAUCACCAUCUUUUAUAGGCUUGUUUGAUCCAUCAAAGAAAGCAUAGUCCAGAGGAAAGUAAAUGUUGCCAUAGAGGCUGAGAAAAGGAUAGAUGUUAACAACAAAAGGGGCAUCAUUCGAAUGGAGAUACUGGAUUAUCUGGACCGUGAGGUCGCGUAUUUCCGGCCUGAAAUCACCAGCAGAAGGGACCGGAUUUGAUUCCGGCGAGUUGUAAACGUCGGCAUUGAAAGGAAUUGUUGCUUUCACGACUGUUCCAAGUCCAGCAUGGUUGAUGGCUUCUUGGAUACUCUUCAGGGCCGACAGUGUGUAUGGCAGGAAGGAAUUAUUAUAGCUCUUCAAGAAGGGCUCAUUGCCGACUGCAACAUAUCUACAUUUUCAUUGUUCAGGUUGUUAAUUAUUCAGAAACAAACUUAUCAUAAGAAACAAAAUAAUCUGUUUCAUUUAGUAACCCGGAUUCUGCUGGUACAAAUAAAGAAACUUUACAGGUGAUGGCAGAAAAGGUUGAUUAUCAACAGCAAGAGAAUGCAAUCCCACUACUGCCUCCACCAUCAAAACAGUAAAAACCCAAGAAACAGCUAUAAAGAGCUCUCAAAUGACAAAAGUUGGCAAAAGUCUAUAAAGCUCUCAAAUGGCAAAUUUGGCAAAAAUCUAUAAAGUUCCAAGAACUCACCAGAAAAGGAUAAAGAGAAGAACUAAACAAAGAAAAAAGAUGCUCUGUUUUUUUCCCAUGCAAUACCGUCGGAAGUCAUAUUGUUCUCUCCCAAAAUCCCAAAACAAAGUCGACCAAGAAAGAUGUAGACUGUAGAAUCUAAUUAAGGAAAAUUAUCAUGCGAGUCAACCUGAUGUUUACCCCUCCCUUGAAGCAAUAAGCAGUGAUGUUGGCAUCAACCCAAGAAGCAGCAGCCUCGGGAUCCUGACUGAUCUCCCUCAACAUGUUAUUUGGAAUUCCGAGCAUCACUUCAAGAUUGGUUCCAAUCAAGGCUCCCAAAAUUUUCUCAUCCGCUUCAAACAGCUUCACUUUAUCAAACCCAUUAUCUAACAUCAUCUGAACCACAUUUUCAGGAGGCAGCUGGUGGGAUGCCAUAGUACCCCAGUUCACUCCCAAGCUUGAAACCUUUGAGACCAUGACAAGCAAACAUAAUAAUAGAACAGUUACCGCAUGUUGAUGAUAGUUAAUGAGCCCUUUUCUUGCUGGUCUCAUUUUUGUGAAUAUUUUCUUGAAAUCUCUGCUUUCGUGAAUCAAGAAAGUCGGCAUCUUUGAUUAACAGUGAUUGCGUAGUUGAGGAAUGAAAUGGGAAGGAAAGGGGGAUUCGUUCUUGUUUAGUUUGAUGAGGGGUGAAAGCAUUCACACUCUAGUCUAGUCACUCUGCUUUCUGUUAUAAUAAUGAUUUUGUAGGAUUGGUGAUUGGAUAUUGGUAAAAACUUCAUGAAAUCUACGCACCAAAAAAGUUUGGCCAGAAACGUCGAAGGAAGAAAAUGGACGGAAGAUUCCUUUCUUAAUUCAGUUAUUAAAUUGUGAAAUGAGACCCAGCCAUUUAGGGCCUCUAAGACCUGUCAGAGUCGGUAACUGAUCAUAACGGAAUUCCAACUGGAAAGGAAUAAAACUUUGAAGUAUGUAAAAAUUUUAUUUCAUAGGACGGAAUGCAAUUUGCAUCAGGAUCCUUCGUUAAUUGGAGAAUUUCUAGAGAAGCUUUCAAUUAUGGGAUGCAAAGGAAAAUAUGCAUGAAUGGUACUGUCAUUUUUUCACAAUCAGACAUUGGAAUUUGGAAGGAAAAUGUAUAAUGUUUUGCAUUAUGUUGGUUUUGAUGCACGGAUAUAGUAGUGUAUCAUGCAUGUUCAUUACCAAAAAAAAAAAAAAGAGUGUGUAUCAUGCAACGCAUCAAAGAGUUGAAAAACGAGAUGUUACAUUCCGAACUUCGAAUGAGGAUUCACAGAUGCGGUAUUUUGGUAGGCAUGUUGCCUGUAAGGAGCGUAUAUUGCUCUGGUCUUUCUCCCUUGCUAAUCUUCCCGGCUACGCCCCAGUCAACUUCUUCUUUUACCAAACACAGUGGCGGAGCCAGAAUUUUUUUCUUUGGAAGGUCAAAAUUUUUUCUAACAAAAUUAUCUUGAUAUGUUAUGUUCAAAAUAAUUUUCAUCUAUUUAUAUAUAUGAAAGUGUAAAAAUAUCAAAUAUUAACUUUAAUUAUAAAGGUACGUAAAAAAUAAAUAACUUUUUUUGAAGAAAAAAUUUAUUCAAUGUUGGCUAAUUCAUAUAUAUAUAUAUAUAUAUAUAUAUUCUCAUAAUAUAAACUAAAAUUUUAAAAAUUAGGGAAUGUCAACUUUGUUUUAGGCACAUAUUUACACAUUAUAGAUUAAAAAUUUUCAAAACUUGGGGGAGGGGGCCAUGCCCCCAUGAGCCCCCUUGGUUCCAUCAUUGACCAAACAUAAUCACCCUCGUUUAUUUUUGCUUUAUUGAGGAUUUGUAAACUUGAAGGUCUUCUAUUUUAGUUAACCAACUCGUUAAGGUCAUGACAAAAGUAUUUUAGUUAACCAACUCGCAACCUUUUUUUCUUUAACUAUUUCCAGUUAGCAGAAAAAUAAAUUUUAUUUUUUUUUCUUUUUCUGGUUAGCAACUUGAAGGUCAUGACAAAAGUAUGGACCCCCAGAAAAUUUGUAGACCAUAGUGGAUGAUUUAGUUAGUACUUAGCAGAGGCCAUUGACUCCUUUAACAGAAAGAUACCAUCGCGAAUCCCUCAACUUUCCAACGAAAAUCUACGUGUUUCGAUCGCAUGCAAACUUCCUUUCUUAUUUUAUUUUGAUCUUUUCUUAUCAAAGUUUCAGCUUUAUACCACCUUUUCAUCGUCAGCUAAAAGCGGGGUGCAAUCCAAACAAGAGGAUAGGCAUCAUGUUGAAAGAUAUGAUUUCUUUAGCGGCCAUACCCAGUUUUCUUUUUGUCUUUCUUUUUCCUAUGGGGUUCCCUUUUUCCAACGUGGGUGUCACAGAAGAGUAAAAAAAAAAAAAAAAAAAGGGAUUAUAAGCAAAUAAAAAUCUGUCCACGAUGAAUUAUUACACAGAAUAACCAAAUUAAGCUAAGCCGAAGAGUCAGGUAAUACUGUGUUCCUUGUUUGGACCUUGCAUGCAGCAGCCUUGACUGACACUGACCUCGUGUACUGGCAUUGGAUGCAUGGGACGAAUUUAUAAAAAGAACAAGCAUCUGCAGUAUGAAGUAUCCCUUGGUACUUGUAGUAGAUUGCAAAAAAAAUAGAUCCUAGGGUUCGUGCAGGCCAAAUUGGGAAAUGUAUUCUAGAAAACAAUUCAUGCUCCAACACAAACUGCGCGCCCCCCUGGACAUCCAAGCAGAAGUAUUUACCUCGGUGAAAAACAAGGUUACCAGUCGAAGCCUGAAACUCAACGUACGAGUGGUAACUUCAAAAGGGUGGCUGCUUCACAAGGAAAAAUUCCAAAAACUGACGAAUUCGAAAGGGAGGGUGGAGAGGAGAUGGUAAUUGCAGCGAUGUGAUCAUCUAUAGUGUCUCUCUCUCGUUGGUUAUUCUUGGACAUGCACUAGCAACCAACCAUCCUUGGAACAAUGGAGGGUUAAAGUGGGAGUACCACUAAUGGAUUUCCGUGAUGGACAAACUGCAUGGAAAGCCCGCCGUCUCCCAGCUACAAGGUGCAAUAAUAUCAUCGUUAAAAUAUCGUCUGGGAGUAAAGCCCAGCGGCUUUUCCGGCUCAUCUUCAUCUCCACAAGGAGAUGGCAUUACAGUUGUUUGUUCCGUAUUCCUACUCACACUUUCAUGGAUGGGUAAAAGACUUCUUUUUCUCUCCAUUGACGAGGGACUGAAAGCAAACAGGAAAACGAAAUUAGUUAUAUGCUUAAAAAUGAAGACAAAAGGGAUGAGGAACUAUAUAGUUGCCACAUCAACAGAUAUAAUAAGUGAAACUAUAUAGUUUCACGUUGGACAGGAAAUUAGACACAAAAAAUUGGACAGAGGAUCUGCUCUCGGGCAAGCGGGGAAUCAUUUCCCCACAUCAUUUAAUAAAUUACAUAGAAAUUUUACAUAUCCAUAUAAAUUAGUAUUAGUUAACGCUUAAUUAGCUAUUUGUAACUGGAAUUAAUUAGUUUUGUUUAGCAUUUUUUUAGCAUGUUGGGCUAGAAUAUUACUAACAGUAACAGAAUUUUAUUUAUAGUUGUUCUUUUUUCCUCUUUUUUUUUUUUUAAAGUUUGAUGAUUAUAAGAAGAAAGAACUCAAUUCGAAACUAUUCUGACAAACCCUUAUAAGAGCAAAGAGGAAUAGCUACAAUCGGUCAAGUAGACUGGAGAAAAUAAAACGAGGGAACAAGAAUCAAGACUGAAGUCCUCCUGUCAUGUUACUUUAUUCGCUACAAACAAGAUGUUCAUCAGCUUGCUUUAAGGAAAUCUAACAAGACAACUAGUAGAACUAUUUCAAGAGUUCUUGCGGAAUUUCCAGUUAUCUAAAUUUAUCUAGACCUAUCAUGCAUAUGCUCCUUGAAUUGUUGCCUCAACAUGCCAACAAGAAGUUCGGUCACUAGUACAAGGGAGAGGCAGGGGCGGGGGCGGGGGGAGUUACUUGUAGACGGGUGGCCCUGCCCCAAAAUCGCCCUGUUGCCAUCCAUUACUCUAUAUUCAAGUCAUUGUAACUGUACUAAGCAUAAGCAUGGUCAGGAGUAGUGAUAAGGCAAAAUAUUAGUGGAGUUUGGAUUCAUCGAUGUACAAUCCCAAGUCCUUAUAAAUGUACUAAUUGCAUAAGCAUCGUCAGAGGUUACUGUAAUUGCAAGGCAAAAUAUGAAUGGAGUUUGGAUUCGUCCAUGUACAAUAUUAAGGCAUAAGCAUAGUCAGUGCAAUAAGAAUAGUUUGGAGUAGUAGUAAGAAUAUUAGCAGAGUUUGGAGUAAAAGAGGGAAGGGGCAGGCAGUAGAAUGGUAGAAGUGGAACUAGAGUGAGUGGUUGUUGGGGAGGCAGGCAGCAGACUUGGUUUUGCAUCUCCCCUUCCCUGCAAAAGAAAAGUUAUAUAGGUAAUAAAUCAUCGCCAUUCAUUACUCCACAAUGGGAAGAAAAAAUCCAGAAAACCUCUAUAUGUGUUAACUGUGCUCCAAAAUUUACUUGUUUUGUCUCACUUCUGGGGUGGAGGUGCCCAUGAACUCAGUGGCAUUUCCUACAAAAAUUUUCAGGUUAAUCCAAGUAACUUCAUUAAUCUUUUCUUUUUCAGUUCUUAGUUAAAAAAUAUAUAUUCCAAGUAAGUUCCGCAAUCUUUUCUGUUAAGAAUUCCUUAAUUUCUGAUCCAAGUAAGUUUAGUAAUAUUUUCUAUUAAGAAUUCCUUAAUUUCUGGAAAUUAUAAGAAGUAUGGUACAUUUCAUAUACCUCAAGGUUAUCAACAUCAUCCGCAGCAGUAUCAUUAAGGUUCAUAUCCUGCUAUAAUCUAUUUGUUAAUUCACACACUCCAAAUGACGUUGAUUCACGAUUCAUGAUUUUUUUUAAAAAAAUCAUGAAUCGUGAAUCAACGUCAUUUGGAGUGUGUGAAUUAACAAAUAAAUUAUAGCAGGAUAUGAUUUGAACACGUAACAUAUACGUAAAAUAUGAUGGUAGAAUUAAGUAAAAUCUCACCUCUUUUUAUCCACCAAAUCAAGUAAGCGGCCAUUUGAUGUCGCAACCUAAAUUUGCGAGUCGAAUCGAGUCGAGUCAAAUUUUAGUUUAAUCAAAAUGAGUCUCGACUUAAUUUUAUCAGAUUCGCGUUCUAAAUGUAAAACUCGAGUUCGAAUUCAACCUUAAAUUUGAUUCGAGUCAAAUCAAGUCAAAUUCAAACUCGAGUUUAUAAAAUAAAAAAUAAUUAUUUUAUUUUUUAAAAAUGAAUAAAAUAGUUAAAUAAUAUAUAUGAAAUCAAAUCGGCACGUAAGUUAACAAGUUGAGUAUUUUUGACCUCUAAUUCAAUCUCGAAUCAGAGUUUUGACUCAAGCAACUUGUGAAUUAGUUUAGUGUACCAUUGGAAUGUACAUUGCUGUGAAGGCGUUUUCAUGUUUGAUCAAUGGGAAGUUAAAGUUUGUCCCCCAAUAAAAAUAAAAAUAAAACUUUUACUAUAUAUUGUGAUACGACUUUUCCCUCUUGUGAAAUGAAAGUCGUGAAUGCGGUUACACAGGAGCAUGGUGACGCAGCGCCUGAGGAUGUAGAUUCUUGUUUUCUGCUGCUUCAUCACCAUCAAACACCGCUUCCUGAACCCAUUUCUCAGGCGACUUUUGCGUCGAGAAUCAGACGGUGGUGGGAUUAAGUAAGAAAUGCUCACGGUGGUGGAGAAUGGAGACUCCUCAAAUUUUGGAUAUCAGCCAUGGGAUUGAAUUAAGGUAGAAGAAGAUGGACUGAGUUGAGACUUGGGACUUGGGACUUGGGGGCAGGGCAUAGGAAAACCCGUCAUAUAUAGAGAGACCAAUGACAGAGAGAGGCGCUAGCGACAGGUGUCAGCUACGGCGGUCCCUUUGUUUAAGUUAGAGGUCAAAUCAUGAUAAUGGAAACUACUACCUGAAAAAAUGCAUGCUCACAAAUUCUCUUUUUUUAAAAAAAAAAAAUUUUAAAAUAAAAUGUUACUUUUUCCUUGCAAUUUCUUGCCUUCCAAUCAUACUUGAGAAUAAUCUUUAUCGUCUUUUGUCUCGUAAAACUCUCAAAUAACGUUUUAAUGUUUACAAAUUUGUCUUUUCUCUUGGUUUUCUUUUCCUUAAUGUAAUUUUCUGUUUAUAUUCUUUUUUUUGGUUUUCCCUUGCUCUUAAACUCACACGCUGGACUUAGCAUCCUAUCCUUGGCAAUUAGUUUGCAUCUCAUUCUUCGAAAUCUUCUGCUAUGAACCAGAGGUGCACAGAUGCACCCUCUUCAUCGAGCCUAUAUCAGCAGGAAAAAAAAAAAACAAAAACUAUUCUGAUCGAGCCUAUUUUAGCGUACUCAAGUAAAUGACCGUCAUGUCGAUCUGCAAAAGUCCUUAUUUUCAUUGCCAAGAGUAGUAUAAGCAUGUAAUCAAAACUCACAGAACUUCCAUAACCCCCCCCCCCCCCCCCCCCCAAAAGCAACAAAAAAUGUAUUUGAAGAAGCUUUAUAAGGAGAUUUCAUGGCGCAUCAUGAGUAAGUGACCGUCAUGCUUCAACCUUCAUCUCACCUAUGAAAGUUUGUUUCGUGAAAAUAUAAACCUAACAAACGGUCCCGGACAGUUAAAGAGGGACCAAGCCCUUCUUGGUCCUCAUCCAAUUGUAGGGUAGUAAUCCACCACCCCAUCUACUCUUUGACAGGGCUACAAAUUGAGGUGGUAGUAAAGGAUGACCUCGUCCUCCCGCUAGACUCAUUUAAGGCACAACACAAGUAGUGAGGCAGCCUCUAAAGGUUACCCCGCUAUGCAAACCAAAUCUCUGACCACGAAGUUGAUGCGACAGAGAAAUUUGCUUCUCCGAUCACCUACAUGUGGGGCAAUUGAUUAAGAAGCCCCCCCCAUAACCAACCAACCAAAUCCCAAUUGCUCCUCAAGUAUACAUGUCAGUGGAAAGAUAUGGUGAAAUCAUGCAUAGUGGAAGGAAUCAAGAUCAUUUGAUGAUCCAUCAUGUUAUUGGGUGGACUAUAGACUCUAACUUCGCAUAUAAUCCUUGUUUAAUUAGUUCAAUUCAUUUGGUUGUUCAUCUGAUGUUAUUCAUCAUCAAGAGUUGUACUAUCUGGUGAAAAAAAAAAUUGCUUGCAAAAGCACCGGAAGUCAGUGACAAAUUAUCAAUACACUAAUAUUAACACUACUGUUUACGCGUUCCUCAAAAAGAAAUCAUCAAGGCGUAAGACCUAGAUUCGAUGACAAAUUCAUCCAUACAAGAUCAAUUUUUCAAGUAGAUUCAUCAUCCACGGGCUACAACUACAAGAGGAGAAAUAGCUCUCCAGUUCUGAACAGAGAGUUUUGCCCCUUUACCUCUCCAACUCCUGUACAGCUAUCAAUACAAAUGGGAUGAGUCCAUUGACCUUAAGCAAAAACAUCUCUUGACCAAAGACUUCAGCCCAUUUUUGGACUGCAGCACCUACCCUUGAUCUCUAAUGACCUUUAAUUGCUGAACCCUUCCGUUUCGGCCAAGAUCAAGAUUUGCCGGAUCAUAUCAUCAAAAAGAGUCACAUGGGUUCUCCGUCUCGCUUCCGGGAGCGUCCCCUGAAUUGCUGUCGGACAAGAUACUCAAUUUAUUGAGCUACUAAUCUGAUAAGGAGUGAUCGUGCCAACACAAAAGCAUGGUGACGCAGCGCCUGAGGAUGUAGAUUCUUGUUUUCUGCUGCUUCAUCACCAUCAAACACCGCUUCCUGAACCCAUUUCUCCGGCCGCUUUUGCCUCGAGAGCCAGACGACGGUGGGAUUAAGUAAGAAAUACUCAUGGUGGUGGAGACUGGAGACUGGAGACUGUCUACCUGGAACUUCGGAAAUUAGCUUUGAGAUAGAAUUAAGGGAGAAGAAGAUUGAUUGAGCUGGGAGCAGAGUAUAGGAAAGCCCGUCAUAUAUAGAGAGGCCAGAGAGAGAGGCUAGUGCUAGAUAUCGUGGUCCCGUUGUUUAAGUUUGCGGUCAUAUCAUAAUAAUGGGUAGUAAAACCUAAAAACAUGUAUCCUUACACAUUUUUUUUAUUUUAAAUAAAAAAUAUUAUUU
rnacentral:lncRNA from 1 species